UUGUUUGUUUUUUUUUUUUUUUUUUUUUUUUUUUUUUUUUCUUUUUUUUUUUUUUUUUUUUUUUUUUUUUUUUUUUUUUUUUUUUUUUUUUUUUUUUUUUUUUUUUUUUUUUUUUUUUUCUGCGUCUCGUCAUCAGUUGGUUUCCGGCAUGUUGUUCUCCGAAGAGGUGACACUUCGGCUCCGUCAUCUUUUUUCGAGAACUGAGUUCAGCUAUGGUAGUUCCGUCUUUUGGUUCUGUUUUUAUCUUGUGUUUGUCGUUGUUAUUUCAUUUGAAUGGAUUUUUUCUUUUUCCGUAAAUUUGCUAUUGAAUAUAUUAUGCGAUUUUGGGUCAUCGGGAGGGCCUUUAUGCAUUUUGGUUCGUCGUGGCUGCUGUUGGCAGCAAGUUAGGGCUGAGGAUAACCUCUGGACUGAUCAUCCAAGGCCCCAAGCCUUUGCAAGUGUCGGAAAGAGACUUUCAGCGCGUUUCUCGGCGAAAUCCGCCGACGGAACGCGGGAUCGGUUCGGAUUCCUUCCGACGGUGCUUCGUGAACUUUUGCGUAGUCGCUGAGCCUUGUUGGCUGGUCACUCGCAUCAUUUUGAGGGUUCAGAAAUGACGGGUGAGCGACGGUAGGUUCCGGUGUCGAAUUAGACACUUCCGGGAACCCGGAUCGAAAUGAUUAUCCGACGAUAAUUGUUUCGACGUGAGGAGUGGUGUUUGCUGCCAUGAUGCACGUUUACUCAUGUUUAGUGGCAGCGGAUGACUCAUAGCUCGAGACGGUAUGUUCCGGGACAGUUCGUGGCUCCCGGCGGAGUCCCCGUGCGAUUACGGGACUUCCGGCGUAUUACGGCGAUCGGUUUGGGAAACCGAUCUCCAUGGGUUUGCUUGUAGGUUGUGGAUUUAGUGGUUAUUAGCUGUGGGUUAGACACUAACCCGGUGGACCUUCCUUAGGUCCGGUUGACGUCCUUUUUCAGUCAGGAGACAGGCGCAGCAUUUGUACAGGUGGGUACUUCGAUCCGAAGUCGGUACAGUGGUGCACGCUCGGUGAUAUCUCUUCUAUCCCUGUUCUUCUAUUGCUAUUUUCGUAUUAUAUAUUGAGCUUGCAUCCCCGUUGUUUCUAUCAUACUCUACUCAUAUGUUUCUAUGCUUAGUAUCAUGUGUAGGAGUAGAGUAGUUUAUCCCUAUGUGAUACUGGUGACCUGAUUGGUCGGUUCUCGUACUUCGUUCGGUGAUUUGAUUGGUCGGUUCUCGUACUUCGUUUCGAUGACCUAGUUGGUCGGUGCUUUUAUCUUAUAUCUGUUGACCUGGUUGGUCCGUUGUUGUACUAUGUUUUGGGUUGGUCUGUUUCUUGACUUCUGUCGUUCGAUGACCUUUGAGGUCGGUGUACCCUGAGGGGUAGGAUUGUCGGCUGGUGCUGACGGUAGUUCUGAACUAUAUCGAAUACACUCCUGUGACCCAUCGGUCGGUUCUUGCGUUCGUACUUUUAGUUGACAUCGAGCAGUAUCUACAUAUUAUCUUUAUUUACUCUGCCUGGUUGUUCUAUGUGUAGUAUCCUGUAUAGGGGUAGAGUAGAUGGCAUUCGUAUAUACUAUACUUGUGACCUGGUUGGUCGGUUCUCCUGUUUGCAUCGGUGAUCUGUUUGGUCGUUCGUUACUUUCCAUACAUUGACCUAUCUCGGUCGGUUUACGUUGUUGCUUGAUGACCUAUACGGUCGGUAUGCCCAGAGGGGCAGUGAUUGUCGGCUGGUCGCCGACGGUUGGCUAUUGAUCAUAUCCGCAUUGAUCGCCACAGCUCGAGUGCAUUUCACGUACACCAGCGGGUUGAUCCCCCGCAGGAGGGUGUUCUUUUCCGGAAAAGUGGUCGUACAUCCGACCCGUGAGCCCAGUGGUGUUCUCUUGUGCUAGGGUUACAUGCCAGGUGUGAGCAGAUAGUGGCUUUUGCCUGAGGUCCUUAGACCGACACGGCGGUUUAGAUUGGGUACUUUUGGGACUUCCCGUCUGGUUGACGCAUAUAGCCAUAGUAGCGGUUGUUGCAUAUAUACUUCUAGUUCUUUCUUACAGUUUCUUGCUACUAUAGUUUUUGAACCCAUAUCCCUGUAUCUUCGUAAGUUGUACAUUACGUUAGCGUAGUUUCUUUAUAAUUAUCAUCUCAUUCGUUCAUUAUCCGUGGUAACUGUAUUUACUUAGCCCCAUACGUUGUCAUCUCUUCCUGAUCCGGUGAAGUACUCCUGCCUUCUUUCGCUUUUGCGGACCCCUGGGAGGGGAGAAUUACAGUUCUUCACCUCCCACUAUUUUUCAGGUAUCGCGGGCAGGACGUGAGUAGUGGGACGAGACGUGAGGUACAGUGUGGUAAGCGUCGAUAGAGCUUCCGUACUCACGGUUUAUUUCGAUUUAGUUAUUAUCCUGGCCUAUUUCUGUUGAUAUAUAGUUUAGUUGGUCUUAUGUGGUUCAGUAAUAUUUAAAUUUGAAAAGUGUGAUUUAUGGAUUUUUGGUAAAAUAAAAGAUUUUUACCUCUGUAGCGGUUUUUAAAAGAAUAAAUGGUUUCCUGUAUAGGAAAGUUUUCAAAUAAUUUUUGUGGAUUAUGUUUAAAGCCUUGAAUGUAAACGUGAGGUGAAUGGUGAAUGUAUGAAUGAUGAAUGUAUAAUUAUCUUUUAUUAUCUGGUGUGGUUGGAUCCUGGUUGUACUGUGUAUUGGUCGACCGCCGUGCAAUCAGGGGAGACUCUGUCCGUGUGAACAAGUGAUUCCCUGUAUUGUGCGGAUCUGGCAUAACUCAUGGGGUCAGGUUUCAAAAAAAUCAGAGCUUUUUCCGCUUUGUUUAAACUGAAAAGGGACCCCGGGGCGUGACCUACGCCGCUAAUUGAUAUUAUGUUUCCGUUACACUCUAACGCUUAAUCUCUCUCUAAACUUUUUUCUCUCUAAAUAUUCAACUUUUUUUUCUCUCUCUAGCUUAGCUUUCUCUCUCUUCUCUCUUCCGUCUUUAAAAUUUCAACUCUCUCACUUGUCCCCUCUAAUUUCGACUAUAUUUUUCUUCUAUGUUUUUUAUAUGCUCUCUCUCUGUAACUUAAACUCUCUCUCGCCUUUUUUCUAAAAGAUUUGAGACUUUUGGUAACAUUAUCUUAAAAAUUAAUGUAAAUAAUUAAUUAAUUAUUGUAUUUUUUUUGUAAUAUUAAAAUAAUAUGGCUAAAAUUUAAUAUUACCGGUGCGAACCAACAUAGGAAUUCACAUUCUUAGUAAUUGAAAUGAAUAUUGAGGGAGAAGGAAAGGGGUUGGAAAUAAGAUUCUCGGAUAUCUUAUCCUAGUUAAUCUUUUAUAAUGCGAACGGCAAACGCAGCCCUUAAUUUCAUCGGCAAUAAAAGGCACUAUUAUAUUAAAGAGGCUUUAGAAUUAACGAUAUUAUCAUACCCUCGCUUAUUUAGGUUUUAUUUUGCAUGUCAAUUUAGUCCCAAAUUAAUUUUUCACUUUAGUCAGUGCAAAAAUAAAAAUUCAAAAUUGAAUUUAAAAUUCGAAAUUAAUCUAAAAAAUAUGAAUUGUGCACCCUAAAAGGCCUCACCUUUAUUUUGGAAAAAAAAAUAAAGAGGGGAGGGUUGUGGAGGGCCCACAUGCCAUUUUUUAAGAACUUAAUCGCACAUUGAUCCAAGCCUUUUUACUAUUUUUUUUGAUACUUAAUCUUUUUUUGUUUUUGGCAAUCAAAAUUUCAACUCUAACCAAAAAUCACUAUUAAAAGAGGUUUAGAAUUAACGUAUUAUCAUACCUGCCUAUUUGCUUCCUUUGUAUGUCAAUUUUAGUGGAAGCAGCGGAUGCCUUUAUAAUCGAAUUUGAUCUAUAACGAUUGGAUCUAUGUAUUUAGGUUUGUAAUAACAAAAAAAAAUAUCACGAUAAAAAUUUCCAAACAAACAAUAUAUGAAAAAAUAGUAGCCUCUUUUUUUUAUGUUGCAAUAACCAAAAAAAAAAAGGUCAGAAAAAAAAUUCUUGAGAAGAAAGGUCAUACUCUCCGUUUGAUAAGAGAGAGGCGGCGCGAGAGCGGGGGCAAGCUUGGGAGGUGGUUGUUUGCGCGCAUAGAGAGAGAUAAGGUGAGAUAAGGAAGGUUGGGGGAAGAAGUGGGAAAGAUACGAAAGAGAGAGAGAGAAGAGAGAGAGAGAGAGAGAGGACGAGAGAGAAGGGCGAACAAAAUGGGACUGUAAGGGCUCUUUUUGUUAAACUCCAUAAAAGUCCUGCACAGAUCCUCAAAGCAAUCUAGUGGUUAAAACUCACUAGCGAAGAAGUCAGGCUGUGCAUCAAUAGCAUAGCGCCUGGCUCUCUGUCUCAAUAUAUAUAUAUAUAAAUAUAUAUAUAUAUAUAUAUUACUAUAUAUAUAUAUAUAUAUAUAUAUAUUAUAUAUAUAAUGAGGCUACUCUGCUUCUGGAAGCACGGAGCCUUCGUGCUUCCAGGUCCAGUUUUCGAUGUUGCGACUUUCGAAUCAUCGAUCGGCUCCGUUAAACUUAAUCUAGAGUAUUUGAAGUAUCUAGAAAAUAAAUUUUGUAAUUUUUCGAUACCAUUUGCCUAGUGAUCGAAGGGUUCAAAAUCAAUAAUUUUAAUGGCCGAGGUGAGCCGUUUGCAAGUUUAACGAUGUAGAAAUAUCCAAAUCACGUGAAAUUUUAAUAGAAAAUUCUUUAUACUAUAUUAAACAAGAUCAAUACCUUUGAUCUAAAAUUUUAAUGUCAUAUUAUCGCGUUUUGUAAGAUUUUUAUUUUCAUCUGUUGAUUUUGAGCCCCUUAGUUCACUAGGCAAAUGAUAUCGAAAAAUUAGAAAAUUUAUUUUCUAGAUACUUCGAAUACUCUAGUUCAAGUUUAACGGAACUGAUCGACGAUUCAAAAAUCGCAAUAUCGAAAACGACCUGGAAGCACGGAAGGCUCCGUGCUUCCAGAAGCAUAGUAGCCUCUGCAAAACUGCAGAUUUUCAGCUCUCGGGGACCGGUCCCUGAAGGGAGAGACCGGUCCCCGAACGCGUGCAGAAUAAGACAGCCGAAAAAUCGGCUAAGUCCUGGAAGGAUAGCUCUCGGGAACCGGUCUCUGUCUGAGAGACCGGUCCCCCAGAGACCGGUCCCAUCAGAGAGAGACCGGUCGCAUCGCGCGCAGCAGCUCUGGCUGCGCAGGGUGGACGUUCGGGAACCGGUCCCUGCUGGGGGAGACCGGUCUCUGCCUGCGCGAACUGCCCAGUUCGGGCAGUGCAUUAAGGUGAAAGUUGAGGGGUUUAAUAGCAUUUUUGCAGCCCAAAGGUUAUGUAGUGAGGGUAAAUGAGAUAUUUCUCUCAUUUCACCCCUCUCACACUCUCUUCUCUCCCUCUCUCUCUCUAGAAGACAAAAGAGAAGAAGAAGAAAGGAAGAAAGUGAGAAGAAGAAGAAGAAGUGAAAAAACUCCUCCCUUCAUCUCUACUUGAAAAAAAAGCUUGAGGAAGCAUUUGAGCCCUAAUGUAUAAAACCCUAGAAAAUGUUUGAAUGAACGUAGAAAUGUUUUUAAUGGAUAAUUAAAUUUAUCUAAUAGUUAAGCUCCUUUUUGCUCUUUCCGAGAAUCAAAACUUCGUUGCUUUAGCGUGACCUUGGCACCUCUAAUGUGAACAUCCAAACUAAGGUUUGGAAAGCCUAAAGAAAGUUCUAAGGAUAUUCUAGAGUAAUAAGAAGCUACUUUGCUCCCAAUGAAGAUCAAACCCGUAGGUUUGACAUGUAUAUUGGAUGCAGGGCACCAAAUUGAGGGCUUUUGCUCAAUAGAGGUUUCUAAUGCAUUGACCUCCUCUAGAAACCUAAAUUGUGGGUACAUUCGACGCGUUGGUUGCGCUCGAUUUAACGUUACGAAAAGUAAAUCAAAAGUUAUGAAGCAAAAUGGCUAAUAAGGGUUCCGUCUUGCCGCAGGUAAAGAACGAAAGCAUUCAAAAAUCCAAAAAAUAUCGGGCACCUUAUGAAAGCCUUACGAAGUGGUGUGCUUUCGCAAACUCAAUUGAAAUCCUCGUCUAUCCUAAUGUGUCAUCUUUUCGAGCAUUAGUUCCCUAUAAUAUGUCAUGGGACAUUUUAAGUGGUAAACGUUAUAUGCAAUUGAGAUUGCAUGAUUGUGCCAACUGCAUAAUAAAAUGGUUGAGACUCUAAAACGUCCAAAACCUCUAGAUGUAUGCCAUGAAGAAAAGUAGAACCCAAAGGAGCAAAAAGAACAGAGUCGGCACAAAAGCAUACGAUCGAAUGGCAUUGAAAACAUAAGCUAAAGUGACACUAGAAUUUGUCGAGCCAAAAGAACCAAAGUGAUGUAAAGAAAUAUGAAAUACAAUGUGUACAAGUAAAAGUAAAUGGCAAUAAAGACGAGAAUGUAAAGAAUAUAAUUGCUAAGUUAGCAAAAGUAAAAAAAAUAAAGAAUAUACGAUCUGCAUGAGUUUGCAAACAUAAGUAUGUAAUGAACACUAGAGCUAUUUAAAUCAAAUUGAACUUAUGAAAUCCCUUUAGUUACAGAUAUGAUCAUACUUGCCUAUGAAUUCCGUGCCGAGGUUCCGCUCACCCUCGGGCGAUGCCUCCGGAUUAUAAUGCAGUAUCCGGGUGAGUAGACGCCGUAAGGACGUCCUAGCUGGUGGUCCUGCGUGAUGACUUACAUGUGCAAGCAAGUAAAUUGCGAAACCCCGGCUAGCCUUAAUGAUUAAAAACAAACGAGCACAGAAAAAGUGUAAAGUAAAGAACGAAAAAAUUUGCAUAAUUCAUUAUUAAGUUUGCAUAUUCGUGCUUUGUACAGGCAUAUUAAAAGCAUUAUGACGAUUGGUACUAUAUUUCAGCUUAUCCUUGCCUUAUUAUGCUGGAGUUAGUCCUAGUGGGCCAAAAAGUGGUGAGUGUGCGCCGAACCCACUGAGCGAACUUUGUGUAGUUCUCACCCCACUAUUCUCCACAGAGCCGGGACCUGAGCAGAGCGCGCGACGACGAUGGUAAAGGUAAUCGCGCCCUAGUCAGAGGCCACCAAUGUUGGGUUUCAUUUUGUAGUAAAGUACCUGAUGUCAUCUUGUAUUUGAUGAUUAAUGAAACUGUAAGAAAAAUUAAAGUUAUUUUGAGGUAAAUGUGAUGUAAGAAAGAAAUGAUGAAAUGAUAUAAUGAAAGUAAGAAUUCGAUAAAUUACUAGAUGAAUGCAAUGUAUAUGAUCUAAAAUGAAUCAUAAUACUUGUGAAUGUUUAGUUUCCUUUCUUUCACUAAUGGCUAUUGCUUACCCUCGUGUAAGCCGUUUGUGUAUGUUUCCGCUAGUGCUUUUCUCUAUUGAUGAAAAUGUGCAUGUGAUGAGCCUUGGGCGGAUAGGGGAAACUCUGUCCGUUCGGCGUCUGUUUGACGUGCUCGGGUCGGGCCAAAUUGGCAUCGGUCCCGGGGCGUGACAUCAACUAUCAUGCUACUAUGUUCAAUAAGUUAUGUCAUUCAUGUAUUCACCCAAUCACUUGGCUAACCCGAAGGUUUGCCCACGACUUACAGUGCAAUCCCAUAGGUAAGGAGACCCUCCCGCUUGCAAACCCGAGACCGUCUGCUGGACAGGUACGUUAGUCCAUCACGUGAUGACUCCGGAGCUCACUACUUGGGUGGAGCGACCACGCCAAGCGAAAACAGACUAUGCGAGUAUGAUCCAAUCAUCGCCAACUGAGGAUACCCUAUCGACUAGGGCUAGUCAAUAACAUGGGAACUCGACUAUACCUAAUGUUCAUGUUUAAAUGUUCUAACUACACUAAGUCCACAUGCAACAUAUCACAAGUUGGGAAAUUCAUCUAUCCCUAAUGUUCAAGUUCAAGUGUUUUGUCUACACUAUACUCAUCAUGCCACUCGUCAUCUAUGUCAUCAACAUUAUUUAAAUGCCACUCGUUAUGUCUCUACAUAAACACUAAGUUCAUCACUUGUUUCGGCAAUAUAGGACCCCAAUGUCAUAACCCAAAUCCUUACAUAUCCACUACAUCAUGUGUCCAUCUCACACAACAACUAGAGAAUCAUAGAAGGAAUGGAAAUGCAAUCAUAAUCGUCUUAUAAUGCAUAACAACAAGAGAGAUGCAUGGUCGACAAUGUAACUAAGAUAUAGAAAGAAGUUUAACUGCUUCGGGAUGACACCCCCUACCUCUAGGUGAUGCCACGAUGCUAGGAAUUCGGUUUCGUAAUUUUUGGACGUCGCCUCAGCCCUCCAGGCGGAAACGAAUCCAAAACGGUACUUUUCCUCGAUAUCUUCGCGUAGACUCGAUGGAUCGCCGAAACGACUUCACAAGCGCGUUAGAAUACCUAGCAAUUAGGUUUAUAUGGGUUCAAUUUAGAUCAAACCCAACUAUUUGCAAAAAAACCCUUUUUGAACCUUAAUACUCAACUAUAGCAAAAAUCACCAUUUCAUCCCAUGAUUCAAGCAAUAAUCAUCUAUUUAGCAUCCUAGGGUUCCAUUAAAACCAUUCUUAGAGUAUAAGAACUUAACCCUAAGGAUCUACCAUUAGAGCUCCAAGUAGCUUACCUCUCCAAGCUACCAAACCAAGGAAGAAGAUGAAGAAGAUAAAUAAGAUCCACUUCCUAGCUUCCUUCUCCACCGAUCUCCCCUCCAAAUCCACCUUGUGGGAGAGCUUCUAGAGAGAGAAAGGGAGAAAAAUGAGAGAGAGGAGAGAGUUCACUGCUGGAAUGAGAGAGGAGGGCUCUGGAGUCUUUUAUAAGCUGCUACAAUUGCAAUAAAACCCUCAACUUCAUUUUAUUUGCAGUAGACCAACCUGCUGUUUCACAGCACUGCGUACCAGUACGCGGGCGGCUGUCACCGGUACGCCCCUGUUCAUCUUCCCAAACCCGAGAGCUGAUUGUUCUCGAGUGGCUGCGGGGUACCGGUACUCUUUGAAUUAGUCACCGGUUAACUAGCCUGACAGAGGCAAACCCGAGAGCUGCUACUCUUAGGUGCCAGCCUGGUACCGGUAGUCUUCCAAUGCUUCACCGGUUAACAAUGCUCCAGAAUGCAGUUUUGUAUUGUUUCGACUCUAAUUCGCGCCGAGCAAUGCUAAAACCUUUUUAACUCACUUGGAGUUCAACCUUAAUCCUUCCAACACUAUUGGAAUGCCACAUGGACCAUGUCCAAGCAUCCUUCUUGCCACGCUUUGGUCAUUUUGAACAAAAGUGGUUUAAUACGACGAGGAUUCACUUUCUUACAAUACCUCCAAAGAUGGUUUUGAAAAUGAUUUAAAAGAAUGCAUAAAUGGUAGGUUAACUGUGCAAGAAUUUGGGAAUGCAUGGGCAACAAUGCUUGAUAAGUGUCAAUUACAUGAAAAUAACCACCUUCGAUUGUUAUGGAAUAUUCGACAUCAAUGGAUUCUUGCAUAUUUUCGAGAUAUUUUUUUUUGCGAAUAUGUCCACUUCAUAGCGUAGCGAAAGUAUGAAUACUGUGGCAAAACUAUGGUUAGAUUCGCAUACAUCAAUAUUCAAGUUCGUCACUCAGUUCGAAAAAAUGUCAAAUAAUCAAUAUGAGAGAGAGGACAUUGAGGAUUUCAUGACAAAGGAUAGUGAGCCUAUAUUAUAUUCAGAUGAUCUAAUUGAGAAAAAUACACGCUCUCUAUAUACAAGGACGAUUUUUUCAGAAUUCAAAGUUCAACUAAGGACUACAACAGGUUACAAUUGGAAAAAGAUAAGUUGUACAAGAUUAGUUCGAUUUCACAGCCUUCUACUUCAGGACAACGAAUGUGCACAUAUAUUGUGAUAGUUGUAAGGUCUGAGGAUAUAGUAUCUUGUACUUGUAAGAUGUUUGAAUUCUAUGGUCUCCUAUGUACUCAUGCUCUUAAAGUGAUGCAUUAUAUUGAAGUCUAUAGCAUUCCUCCUAGAUAUAUUCUUAAAAGGUGGAUUAAGAAUGCCAAAAAAAGAAAAUCCACUAAUUGUCCAAAAAUGAGUGAUGGGUCCUUAUUUUGUAGGUCUCGUAGAUUUGACUUGCUUGCAUUAGAGGCACAAAAAUUUAUCUUUGAAGGAUCUAAAAGUCUUAAGGCAUAUGAAAAUGCAUGUCGGAUAAUUAGAGAAUGAGUUGAUGUGCUAACAUCAAUUAAUCAGACAAUAGAAAUUGAGGAAGGAACAAAUGAGGAGCCUUCAAAUGAUCUUUGUAGAACCCUAAUUUCACAAUCAAGUCAAAUUAACCAAUGCACAAUUAAAGAUCCCCUGCACUCGCAAUGUGAAGGGCGAAGAAGACCACAAAGAAUUAAGUCAUCAGUCGAAAAGAAGACAAGAAUGUCAAGAACUUGCAAGUAGUGUAGUAAAAAAGGCCACAAUAUUAGAACAUGCAAAGAGGUAAGAAAAUUUUUUGUUUUAGUUUCAUUCCUACCUUUCAUAUAUUUAGCAUUAUGUUCCUCACUAAUACAUUUUCUGCUGCACUAUUGUUUCUUGCAUACUAAUUCUUGUCUUCUAAAUAGCUGCUAGUUUUAGGUCGAAGCACUCAAUCAGCAACAUACUCGAAAAAAGUAUGCAAUUUUUGUAUCAAAUUUUUCAUUGCAAUAUGUAAGCUAGAACAAGAAACACCAAUAUCACAUUUGACAUGAUCUAAAAGGAUAGCAUAGCAACAAUAUCUCUUUUGCAAACAUAACAGUACUAUAUCAUCAGCAAUCAAUAUUACAUAUUGAAAUAACAACUAUCAUUUUUUUCAUACAAAUUUUUUAUUUUCUAGGAGAACAGAAUUUUAACACACAGAAUUGCUAAAAUAAAUACAAUAAAUAUUUUUCUUUCAGUAUCGAUUCUUUCCGUCAAUGCUGUUGUUCUUGUAGAAACUUCUGCAACUUUAGUCUUCAAGUUCUCUAUUUGCUCGGACAAGAUAGAGAGGUUGUAAUUUAAGGUUUGAAGUAUCUUCUCAUUUGAUUAUUUUUGGGAAGAUGCUGCUGAUUCAAACGCGGAACUUUCCUUCAACUGUGAGAGAUUUGAACUUUCUCCUUCCAGAUGUUCUUUGAAUAUCAUGAUUUCUUAUUGCACCACAUGAAAAACUCACAGUAAUUUUCAUUAUCCUUUCCAUAUUUACGACAACCAUAAAAUUGUCUUCCUUUGUUUAUAGGUUGUUGUAAAGAUCUAAUUAUGGCUAUCUCAUUACAUUUGCACAAAACNACUAAAUUUAAAUCAGACCGAUGAACAUACGACUUACCAAUUAAGAAAGUGGAACCGAUAACGAACAGGAGCACGUUCGGUAACACAUACGAAGGCGAAUACGUUUAAACAUGAGAUAACUAUGAUCACAACUCGGAACCAGCCUGUCCCCUUCGAGACAGGCAAGCCGCAGAUAAACUGCGAGAGCUUGGCCGGUUUUUCCUAGCCCGAGCCCCGCACUGUGAACCGGAACGGGCGGAACCUACCAAACGGUGCUCGCUUCAGGCCGAACAGUAUGAGGUCGUCGAAGAGGCGAACUCGCUAUCGCCUCGAGUGUAGAACCUGCAGAGAGCGGUGCUCGAGGAACAAUCGGGUGCCAACCUCUGGCAGCUCCUUCUUCUUGUUGGCUAGGAGGAGCCGGUACGACCACUACCGUUCGUAGUCAAACCUCAUGAGGAACUGUAUGAGGAACUCCCUAGGACAUACGAACUCGGCAGCUUCAACGGAGGCGCGGUUCAUAAGCUGCACGAGCCCCAUCUUGACACGGAAGUCAAGCGCGUGCUUCAGGAGGGUUCAUAGGUCAAACGUAACCGGGAAGAGCCGGAGACGUCUUGCGGCUGCGGUGGUGUCGUAGCGUAGCAGCCACUCCAUGUACCUUCGCCAGACCUGGAACAGGAGGAGCAGGAGCUAGGCGUCGCGGAACUCCAUCGCGAAGUAUACGGUUUCCUUCAACAGAUAGAGGAAGAGCAGCGCGCUUGGGAACUUCGUAACCCCAAGUCCCUGCGCUUGGAAACCCCACAUGAGGAAGACGCAAAGUGGCGGAGCUCGGUGGCGGAAGAGUUCCUAUCAGUGAGAGCAGAACUCCAGGAGCUGGAGCAGCUGAGCUCACUGAUCGAGGAGCUAGUUCAAGAAGACGAGGGGCAGUGCUGCCCACUACAACGGAACCUCGAAGAGCUCGAGCGGAGCUUUCCAGCGGUACCGUCACCGCUGCGAGAGGAGGUAUGACGCUUGUAGUAGUAACUUCCGCAAUUUCCAUAGCCGGUAGAGCCAUAUGGAAAGAGGGUGGAAGCUAUCUUACAGGAGGUUGUCACGUUCCGCCAGGAGCUGGCUGCGCGUUAGGAAGCACUAAGCGCACAGGAACGGGAACGGGGCGAACCUCCCAACGAACCUCCGUAGUGGGGGUUGCAGCGGUCGUUGCCGGAGACUACUGAUGUACCGAGGAAGAGCUUGGCCGAGACUAUGGUUGACAGUGCCUGAAUUGCUUAAACGAGCGUUUUCGGGCACGCCGCGAGCGGAAGGAUGCGCUUCUCUCGUUCGGACGGAGAGACGAACAGUUCCAUCCUGGAGUGAGCGGGAUCUGAUUCAUGUUCUCUCUCUAUUUUCUUUCGAGAAGAUAAUGAAAUUUGAACUCUUAUGUUUACUCCUAAGACUUUACUCUCCCCCACCUCCGGUGUGAUAAAUAUCCGGUGAGUGGCGGGUAUUUCGGUUACUUUUCCACGGUUCACCGUGUUAUGAUGAUCGGUUUUCCCCUCCGGUUAUUCAUGCGAUGCCAGAGGGUUCUCAGUAUUAUUUAUACGUAUCUUUGAGAUUCUCAGUAUGUAAAUAAUGAUGGAUCUUUGAGAUUCAUGUAAUUACCCGAUGGAUCUUUGGGGUUCCCUGAGUACUGAGGAGCCGUAGGCCAUACAUGCAUCAUUUCUCUUUUUUUUUUUUUACAUCUCAUUUCUCCUAAAAUAUAACUUUUGACAUUUAAAAUAAAUAUCCCUUACAUCAUUCAUUAAAGCAAGUUCAUGAUACUAAAAUCAUCAAAUAUAAAAGAUGAUAGUAAAAGGUAUGCAACUACAAAAUGAUAACCAUCUCAGGCGGUCUCUACCUAGGGCGUAAUGCCCUUGCCGCCAUCGUCUACCGGCUCGCUGGGUCCCGGCUCUGUGAAAUAGGGGUGGGAGAACUACAACAAAGUUUUCAGUGGGUUCGGCACCGAUCUCGCCGACUUUCCCACUAGGUCUAAAUUAGGCAUAAUAGAAGAAAGAAUAGAUAAUAACCAACUAACAGAUGCAGUUAAUAUGCCUGAACGAUAAGUAAUACUAUGAUCGAUAGAAUGCUCAUGAUGAAUGCAAGAUUAACUUUUCAUUACCCAAUCUCAUGGCUAGCCCGUAGGUUUCGCACUCACAAACUCACCAACCCAAAUCCCUAUUGUCGGGGAGAUAACCGCUACAACCCGACGGGACCGCCCUCUGGGGAGAUAACUGCUACGAUCCAGUGAUGACAACUCCGGAGCACAUCGCCCGAGGCGGAGCUACCGCCCUCGAGCAAGGACUAUUAGGUGAGUACGAUCAAUCCUUAACUUUAAGGAUUUUAAGUUCAAUCCAUUCCUUGACUUCAAGGAGAACCAUGUACAUAUGACCCUUAAUUCUAAGUUGUUUAUGUCAUAAUGUCACUACUUGUUCUUGUUCUUUGUCAAUGAUGCCACACUUGUUUUCUAAGUCCUCUAGUCUCAUCAAUGUCACUUGCUAAAUCUAUGUCAACAUGUCACAUUUGUUUACUAACCCUUCUAGGUUCUUAUCCCUUGUCGUGCAUAUAUAGGGUUACCAAUUCUCAUUCAUUUACUACUAUUUCUCAAGCAUUAGAACUCAUAUCAUGUAAGGAAAAUUUACAAUUAACCCUACUAUGCAACAUGUUCAAUAUAAAUACAUAUACUCAAAUAUGACGCUUUAGAUAUAAAGGGAUUUUCGAUGUCCUUGGAAUGCACCACCCACCUUAGAUGGUCACAAGGAUGCUACGGUGAAUUUUUUGGAAUUUUUGAAGCCCUAGUCCGCGUGCUGCGGCUAUCUGUACGGAAAAUGACGUUUUUGUUAAUAACUUUGCGUACACUCGUCGGAUUGUCGAACCGAGUGUUCCAACGCGUUUAAAAUAUCCUAAAUUAGGUUUCUACAUGAUCAAAAUAGAUCAAAACCCAACUUGGGCAAAACCCCUCUUUGGGAUGCCCUAAUAUGUUAUUUUUUCAUUUCUCCGAGAUUGAUCUCAUUCCUAAGCAAAAGAUAGCUUAGAUUCACAUGGGAAGCUCUCUAAUAAGGUUUCUAAGCUUUUAGAACCAUCCCUAGGGCAUCUACUUUGAGCCCUAGUGAUCCACCAUGAAAGGGGUCUAAAAAAUCCAUAUUUUUUAUGGAGUCAUGGUCUUUAGAGGAUUUCCUCACUUGUAGAGAGAUCAAAACCCAAAAAUCUAAGGUCUAAACCCAAAUCCUAAACUCAUUUUUGCAUAAGGACUCACCUUUGCCUAAGCUCCACCAAAGCCUACUUGUUGGAGAGCUUCUAGGACCACCAAAGCCACCAAAAUCCACUUCUCCAAGCUCUUCUCCACCUUCUCCAAGCUCUAGGGCUUGCUUUCUAGAGAGAGAAAGAGAGGAAAAUGAGAGAGAGGAUGAAAUGGGUGUUGGCUGUGAGGGGAAGGGGUAUUGGGCUAUUAACAUGUUGUAACAUUUGCCAAAAAACCCUCCCAAUCUUUAUAUUUUGCAGCAGACCUCGUUUUGCUGUCGGGCCCAAAGUGUACCGGUACACUUUUUCGUGUCACCGGUUACACGACCACGCAGAGGCAAACCCGAGAGCAAAUCUGUCGGUUUCGCCCAAAGUGUACCGGUACACUUUUUCGUGUCACCAGUUUCAGCAUGUGUAACCGGUGACAGGUCGCUUGCUGUACCGGUACACAUUGCUCCAGACCUGAUUUUGGUUCCGUUUCAAUUCUAUUUUGCGCCGAUCGAUGCCAAAACCCUUCUAAUACUUCUAGAACUCAUUUUUAACCCUCCCAACAGUGUUGGUAGGUUAAUUGGAACUCGCCCAAUUAAUCCAUUCGCGCACUUUAGUCAGUUUGCCUAAAGUUCGUCAUUUUCUAUCUAGGUUUCAAUACGUUACACCAAGGGUGGGGGAGACCGCCGCGAGCAGCGUGAUCACAAGGGCGAAGAGCGAAAAGGCCCUCCGCAGAAGAAGAAGAUCUCUUGCUAUGUCUGCGGGGGUGAUCACUGGGUGAGAGAUUGCCCAAAGAAGAAGACCGUCAAUGCCAUCCAAGCCGAGGAGAGCGAGGAACAAGCGGAGACAAGGAUGGGCGCGCUAAGCCUCGUCAACGCAGUUCGCGGUCAGCCAAGCGGCGACAAGCUCCGCAGGAGAGAGCUCAUGUUCGUCAAUGUGAUCCUCAACGGGAGGACCACGCGGGCGAUGAUCGACACCGGUGCGACGCACAAUUUUGUCGCGGAGGUGGAGGCCAAGCGGUUGGGCCUCACACUCGAGAAGGAUGCGAGCCGUAUCAAGGCGGUCAACUCUGAGCCGCGGCCAAUCGCGGGAGUUGCCAAGGACGUGGAGAUAGCCAUCGGCCCGUGGAGGGGUAAGGCCAAUCUCACUGUCGGGCCGCUCGACGAGUUUGGAGUCAUCCUCGGGAUGGAUUUUCUUGUUUCGUCGAAGGCGACGCCUAUGCCACACUUGUGGGUGCUAAGCUUCAUGGACGAGUCAGCACCAUGCAUGGUUCCGAUGUGUCGAGGCGAGCCGACGAAGGGCCAAACUCUGACAGCCCUGCAACUUUACGAGGAGGCAAAGUGCAGGAAGGCUAAGGGCCUCGAGGAGGAGGGACUGAGCAGCGGCGAGACUGUCGAGUCUCAGGUGGUGCUGAAGCGGCCAGCACCCAAUCAAGGUACAAGUUAUUCUGUCAAGAAGGAGUCCGAAGAGUCCAAGGGGCGUUCUGUGGCUUAGCGGAGUGCGCGUGCGUGUCGCGGAGGACAUGCACCUUUGGCGGAUUCUUCGCACAGCAGGCUUGCUGGUGCACAUGCUCAGAAGGGCAAGGCGCUAGGAGCGGGUACGGGGACAGAUGCGAACUACAGGAGCAAGGCACGGGGCCGAUCGCGCGCGAAAGCACGACGAACCGCGCGAAAGGCUAUGCGGAUCAAGAGCGACUCGGCGCGCGACAAGGGCGUCUGCGCAUUUGGUGGGGGAGAAUGUCACGGACAAAAUAUUUUUCGCUGACUUUUCCUCGACAGUGGGCCAUUCUCCGAAGGAGCAUUCUGACGGAGGUUUUACUCGGGCAUUCUAGAAGUUUCUACAUGGAUCUCGAGGCUGAUUGGCACGGAUGCCGAGGAGUCAUGAGUCCCUUGGGGUUUCUAGGUAGCCCAUUAAUGUACUUAGAGUUUCUAGGUAGUAAUAAAUGUAUUACUCUUAGAGUUUCUAUGCAUAUUUAUUAUGACUCUUGGGAGACCGUAGCGUACUUAUUGGCCUCCCCUUUUGGCUAGUAGUAUUGUGCCACUUGGCACCUUUUCAUUGGCUUUAUGGGCGGCGAGUGGCCUAUAAAUAGUGUGGCCUCCACCCCCUCUCAUUUCAAAAUCCUCAUUUGUAUUCUCAAGUUUAAAGUAAUAGAAGAGCUUUCUUCUUAUCUCUCUCUUGUACUUAGUCUAGGGCGAGUGAGGUCCUACCUUGACAAGCAGAGAGAUAGGCUUGCUCUCUUCCCGUAGGAAGGCGAGCGCCGCACGGGCUUUUGCGAGCAAAUUCGUUAAGUCCGUGACAUCAGCAAUCUACACAAAAUGGUAAAACAAGUUUAAAAAAAGUCUAACAAGUAAUCAAAUUAACAGAUCUAAAAAAAAUAAGACUAACUUAAAAUGAUCAAAUCAACAGAUCUAAAUAAAUGAAGAAUACCAACUGAAAUUGAUCCAAUGCACAGAUCUAAAAAAAAAAAAAAAAAAAANNNNNNNNNAAAAAAAGAGACAAACAAGUAAUCAAAUUUUCAAUAACUAAUAACUUUUAGUUAUUUAAAAAAAAACUAAAUAUUGCUAGUAAUUUUCAUAUUUUCAAUUUUUUUAAUGAGAGAGGUUAGGAAUGAUCUCGUUCACAGUUUCAUACAAUUUAUCUAAGAGUUUCAAAUUUCUACAUUUUUUCAUAUUAUUGACAUGGUCAAUAUUAUCUUUAUAUAUGUUUACAACUGUCAAUAACCAAAUAAUUUUUCAAAUUUCACAUUUUCAUUUUGUUUUGAGAGAGGUAAACAAGAAAAUGAAAAUUGCAAUUCCAAAAAAAGAGUAAUAACGAAAAAAAAUAAAAAAAACAACAUGUGAAAGAUUGUGGAUUUAUGUAUUUAGGUUGCAAUAACAAAAAAAAAAAAAAAAUCAAGAAACAAAUUUCCAAACAAACAACAUAUGAAAAAUAGUAAAUCUAUUUUUUAUGUUGCAAUAACCAAAAAAAAAGUCAAAAAAAAAAAAUCUGAGAAGAAAAGGUCAUACCUCGUUUGAUAGAAAGGGGCGACGCGGAGAGCGGGGGGCGGCGUGGGAGGUGGGUUGUUUGCACGCACAGAGGGCGGUGGGGCGACGCAGAGAACGGGGGGGCGGCUUGGGAGGUGGGUUGUUUGCGCGCACAGAGAAGGAGGAGGUCUGGACUAGGGAGUGUAGAGAGAGAACGGGUGAGAUAAGGAGAGGUGGGAAGACAUGAAGAGAGAGAGAGAGAGAGAGAGAGAGAGAGAGAGAGAGAGAGAGGAGAGGGCAACAAAUGGGACUUAACGGGCUAUCUUUCCGUUAACCUCCCAUAAAAGCCCCGCACAGAUCUCAAAGCGAUCUAGUGGUUAAAAACUCACUAGCAUGAGUCAGACUGUGCUAUCAAUAGCAUAGCAGCCUGACUAUAUAUAUAUAUAUAUAUAUAUAUAUAUAUAUAUAUAUAUAUAUAUUUCACUACAGAAUCUGUAUUUUCAUAUAUGCUCCUCAACUGCUAAACGUCUCCAACAUAUACCCGCUGACAAAAAUGCGCCUCCUGUUCAAAAGCUUUUUCUAACAGGUUUUAACUACCCUCCAUGAAUUCAAUUANUAUAUAUAUAUAUAUAUAUAUAUAUAUAUAUAUAUAUAUAUAGAUAUUGAUUUUAAUUAUGAUAAUUUACUGUAAUAAUACCUUCCUGCCGCAUCUCGCGGGCCCUUAACUAGUAUGUUAUGAAUCCUUGGUAGGGAGGCCCUAAAGUUAAUUAAGUUCUCUGUUGGUGAUCUCUGGUUGAUGGGUAGUUGAGAUUGCAGCUGAGGAUUGAGGAGAAAAGCUUUAGAACUAUCUUAAUUGGUGUUUCAUUCCAUCCAUACAGUAAUUAAGGUAAGAGUGAUGAAUUUAAAGGUUGAAUAAAAAUAUUUUAAGAUAAAUUACACCGCCGUUGAUGGUAUAAAUAGUUUGAGUUAUGUAAUAUGUUGUACAGGGGUGAGAUUGGCUGCGAUUGAUCUGUUGGCGUAGAGCUGUGAGGGUUGAGAAGAUGAGAUUAGAGUAUUUCAAUGGAGUAUUGAUUAGGUCGGUAUAUGUUGCUGAAAUUAGCAAGCUAAUUAAUACGUCUAUAUUGCAUGUUCCAGUUGAGAUUCUUUGGUCCUAGUAGGCAUAUUAAACUUGGUAUUGUAUUUUUACUAACAAGAAAGUAUGCUAGAGAGCUUUUAUUUGGUUUGGGAUUAUGUUGAGCUAGCAAAGUAUACUGGUGACAUUGAAAGCUUAAAAUUAGUGUCUUGCAUAUUCUAGUUUCUUUGAGACAUACACUAUGCUAUGACAUGUAGGAGAGUAAUCUGUGAUUAGUGGUUUCAGAUAUACUAUAAUGCCGAAGGGCAAAUGAAAAUAAAAUAUGUGAAAGUGCUAAGGCGCAAGUGAAAAGAGAAAAUAUAAAAGUGGUCUUUGUGAUAGUAGCAUGUAAAAAGGAAAGCUCUAGUGAUCUUGUUAAUCGUUGCAUAUGACUAUAGCUUGCAAGAGCUAAAUUGAGCUCAACAAUGCAUAUAGUACUUUUAUUUGUGUGGGACAGCGCCCCAGUGAGAUGGCUUUCGAAGUUGGUAGCUUCUGAGAUAGUUCAUGGUUCCGAUUGAGUGCUGAAAUGGAGGGAAUCCUUGACCUUGGAGGUGUGAAAUGUUGUCCAAGAAGCGAGGUGUACGCUUGAUCGAACUUAUGAGUCAGUCUGUAGGUGAUAUGGCAUUUCUAUUAGUUACUAUACUUGAUGCAUGAUGAGACAUAUUUACAGUUCCCAGUAUUUCUCUUAUAGAGACAUACUAGCAGGUGUACUAGUAGGUAUUUGUUUACUAUUCAAUACAGCAUGUGGUUGCUAAAGUCUUCCAUUCCAGGUAAGCUAGCUAGGAAUGCAAUGUCGCCAUGUCUAUCCUUCUUAGAAAGUAGAUAAACCUCUCUCCUGUCUAUUUAUAAAUCUAUCUCGAGUAGACCUAAUGGUGUAGGUCGUCGUUAUUGUCGAUUGCACUAAAAACUUUUUUUCAGUAAUUUUCACACCCUAUUAUUGUUGGUUUUAUUUUAGAGCUCUCAAUACCAGAGUGAUCGAGAUAAGGGGAUCGCGAGGUAGAUAGCAUCUCCUACCCUGAAUGAGUGCUAAUGUAGGACCCUUCCCUGAUUUUAUAGCUAGCUAUAGAUAUUGGGCCCAAAGGGAUAGAUAAUGUUGUAUAAAUUAUCGUUAGGUUGUGUUAUAGCGACAUGUACAGUUGUAACUAUAAUUGUAUAGCUUUGUCUAAACUCUGAUACAUCUUUUAUAUAUAUAUGCUCUAUAUAUACUGUCGUGCCCGGGUUGCAGCCGAACUCGAGCUCGCUAAUAGACCCACUGCAUACAUAGGAACCAGUAUGUACAUGAAGCGGGAGAAGUACCUAUAUGCAAAACAAGAGCUAUAACAAGCAAGUACCAGAGCUGAAAAAAGAAAUGCUAACAACUACUAAGUAAUCCAUUAUAUAUAGAUAAGUCCAAAAUAGUACAUCUGAUAAAUCCAUCAAUUACAAAACGAUCUCCCCAAAGCUAAAAGUAAAAAAAUUAACAUCCAUAUGUACAAUAAACUACUCAAAAAUUGCCACUAAAAAGGUCCCCUCUAACUUGCCCGUACAAGUAGGCAGGGAUCUAACUUGCAACUCUCUUACCUUGAUUAGUAGCAGCUAUAGAGGCAGAAGACUAUAAGAAAAUAUAGCAACAAAGGGAGUGAGAACUACUAAAAUAAGUAGUCCUCAGUGGGUACCGUCACUGAUGCUGAUGGCCUACCCAUUAAGUCUAUAAAAGGAAAAGUAAAGAACUGUGUAAGUGGAAGAGACAAAAGCAGUAAAAGUUGAAAAGAAUCUACAACUACAAUGCUUCUAUACUACUAGUGCUCAAAAUGAAACUACCAGAUAAAACGAAUGCCUUAACUAUCUAUCGGGUACUCACAAUCCCAAACCCAAUCCAAAUGACCGCCUACAAGGUCCGGUCAAGCUUAUGCCAUCGUACCACCACGACACCACCCUCGAGGUAGCCGCCCUAAGUAGGACGCCCAAAAGGGUUGCUAUAACACUACUACGUAAAAAGCCUUACUCUGGAGUGGCAUUCAGGGGAGCUACCCAGCCGAGCAAAAAGCAGUCUCUAUCGAGCUCAAAUCUGGCACAUACAAACUAUAGUCGAUGCGAAUGAUCAAUCAUAUCAUAAAACUAUACUCUACGUGUAAUAUAUGGCAUCCUGGAGUUGCGAUGUCAACUUUGAUCCAGGGGAUCAAAGUGAGGAUUGAGCUAGUUGGACGUCUUCCCCGAGUGAUUUUGGACGCGUGAGAAUGAAUUCCGAAGAUAAAUAAGUGUUUCGGCGCAAAUUGGGCGCGAAACGAAAUUUAAAAGGAAUUUGCGGAUUUCCGACGCUAACUUUGAUUAAAAGAAUUAAAGUGAGCAAAAUAAUAUACAAUGGUGUGAGAUACCAUUUGAUUGGACUUAAGGGUGUAAAAUAUAAGUUUGGAAUGGCUCGUGUUGAAAUCGGAGCGAAACCGGAAGAUUUAGAAUUUUCUGUAAAGGACGGGACUGAGAAAUUAGCAGAAAAUGCACAGUGUCAGAAAAUUAUGAAACUUUGCGGAGAUGUCAGAAAUGGUUUUAUGAGGCUAGCUUUGAAGUUUCAUAUUAUUCUGACACCUGUAGAGAGAGAAAUAGCAUCCGAAAGUUAUCUGAUGAAGAUUACAGUUCGGGACAGUUCGCAGUGACCAAACGGGGUCGAAACUGAAAUGUUAAAAUUUCAGUGGACUUGUUAAGUAAAAACGAGCAUUCCUAUCAAAUUUGAGCUCAAUCGGACUUUUAGAAGAGCCUGCAAAAGGUAUCUAAUCCGUGCGACUAAACGAAAUUAAGUCGAGGGGCAAUUUGGUAAUUACACAUGGCUUAGUGGAUUUCCACUAAACCUGCCAGCAGGGGAGCCCUCAGCCAUCCUUAUCCCCCUCUGGUUCCAUACGUAGAGAGAGAGAAAGAGAAAAGAGAGAGGGAAGGUGAAGAGAAGAAGAAGAAGUAGAAAAAAAAAAAGAAGAAAGGUGAGUUUUUGGUUAUCUCUCUCUCCCUGUUAUCUCUCCCUCUCACCAUCUCCCUGCUGCUACUGGUAGUAGCAGCAGCAGUAGCUAGUUGCAGCAGCAAGCAGCAGCUUUGCUGCUUAGCAGCAGCAGCGGCAGGAGCAGCAGCAGCUGCAGCAGCAUGCGCAGCAGCAGCAGCUGCAGCAGCAGCAGUAGGGCAGUAGCAGCUCAGCAGGAGCAGCAGCAAUCAGCAGCAGCAACUUCAGCAGCAGUAGCUGCUGUUAGCAGCAGCAGCAGCCAGUCAACAGCAGCAGCAGCAGCUCAGCUGCAGGGCUGCAGAGAAAGAAAAGAAAACAAGAAAGAAAGAAAAGAAAGAAAAGAAAGGAAAGAAAAGAAAAGAAAGCAAGAAAGAAAGAAAAGAAAGAAAGAAGGAAAGAAAAAGAAGUGAAAGAGAGAUGCAAAAUAAGUUAGGAUUUCUAUAAAAACGGGGUUUAAAUGAAAACUGACCCCGGCAAUGCACUUUUGCAAAAUAAGAGUCCUGAUGCGAAAUUGACCGCGUGUAAACCAAAUUGAGGGUAAAAGAAACGCGUUGGCGAAGUCGGUUCGGCAAUCCGACGAACCUACGCAAAGAUAUCGCCAAAAGAAGGUUUUCGGCUAUAGUUGCCGCUUUAUAUAGCAUUGAAAUGCUAACUUGUAAAUUAUGAGUAAUGACUCUAGUUUAAUCUUUUCUAAUCCUUUAUAAGUGAAAAGUAAACAUGCCCAAGAGUCUAAAUUGACUUUCCGACAGGUCGACGACACGGUAAUUACGGUAGAGACCGCUCUAGUCCUAUUUGCACGAAGUCGCGAGAGAUAGUCGUCGACGCUUUCCGAGACGUGGAUUCUAGUUGAUUGACACCACUACAGGUGGGUGGUGCUAUCCGAACUCUUUGAAUCACCUUUUAUGUCUAUAAUUCUUCGUUGAGCAUAUUUAUAUUUGUAGUCAUGCAUUAUAGGGUGUUUGGCAUUGAGCGAGUGGAAAUGUGAAUUCCUAUCAACAAUAAGAAUUUGUGAACAUUAGAAUGUGGACAUAGAACCCUAUGAAUAUAUGAAACUGUAAAGGACCAAGACAAUAGUAAACUUGGUGACAUCAUGACUAGAGAUUUGGUUAGCAUCGAGAAAUGCAAUUAUGAAACUAAUAUAAAGAACUAGUUAGCGUUAAAUUGUGACAUUGUUGUCAGUUGAAUCCUCUAAAGGGGGAUCAGAUCUUACUCACAUAGUCUGUUUUCUUAGCUUGGUGGUGGUCGCUCCCCCCAGGCAGUGAGCUCCGGAGUAGUCACUUGUUGGGCUAACGUACUUGCCCCAGGACUAACGUACUUGUCCGACAGACGGUCCCAUCGGGAGGCAGCUUAGGGCCCGUGAGGGAUUUCGUUGGUGAGUUAUUGUUAACCAAGGGGUUAACCACUGAAUUGGAUAAAUUUAUGGGCUAACGUACUUGCCCCAGGACUAACGUACUUGUCCAGCUGUUAACCAGAGGGUUAACCAAAAGAUUGGGUAAAGUUAAUGAGAAGCAUGCAUGCAUAUUUACAGUUUUCAUAUCUGUUACUUCUUUCAGCUUUGUACAGGCAUUGUAAUAGUUACAUGUUAUAGUUGGUACUAUCUGCUUACUUUUCUUGCCUACAUAUGCCUGAGUAGACCUAGUGGGUGAGUCGGCGAAGUCGGCAGCCGAACCCACUGGGAACUUUCUUGUAGUUCUCACACCACUAACCAUACAGGUUCCAGUGCGAGUUUCGAGGCCGAGGAUCGUGGCAAGGGCCCUGCAGCUUAGCUAGCUGACACCAGAGUUUAGCAAUUACCAUUUUGAGUUCAUGUAUCAUCCAUUUUGAUGUACAGAGACAUGUAAAUGAAUGUAUAAAAAGCAUGUAUAUAACUAAAUGUUUCAGUUACAAGUUCAGUUGUGUAAAAUUUUAAGUUACAGUGAAUUUCAUUGUACAGUUAGUUUACUAUCACUUGUGUUUGUUGCUUGCUUUCGUGCAAGCCAUGUAUAUUGAAAUAUGAUACUGGGAAUUAUUUAUUUCUUUAAACAUGUACUCGUUGUUGUUGAGCCUUGGGCGAACAGAGGAGGUGCUGUUCGUUCGGCGUCUGUGCGCGGGCCCGGAUCGACCAAAUUGGCGAUAACGGGACGUGACACUACGUGUCCCAGGCACAAUCCAAUGCAAAACGCGAAGAUCCAGGACCACCGUCAACCCAUACGGUACACUACUAUGUGACUUAAGCAACCGACUGCUGUAAAAAUCCACUCGGCCCCUCAGCACGAGCCUAAAGUUAUCCUACACUAAUCUAAAGGCUCACAACACUCUAACCAAGGUGAAAAAUAGGUAAUAAAAGCAACAUAGUGUAGGUUUUCUACAUUAUUGAGGUCUAAUUUUAGUAGUUAAAAUAUACCACAUAGAGGUUUAACAUGCUCAAGGUUCAUAUUUCAGCAUUACCCAUGCUAAUCCAAAGAUUCCAAUUAAGCUAGAAUAUCCAACUUUGAUAAAUUAACAGCAUGCAUGCAUAAUUUUGCUAGACAUAAUGGGAAUUCCGUCGAAUUCGAUAAAUUAAACCCACCUCAGGAGCUAAUCCAAUAGCGGCAGUGACUUGACCACCAAAUAAACCUUCCUCAUCCUCCAACUAGUAGGAAAAAUGAGAGCGAAGGUCUCACAAUCCAACCGGAAAAGAACCAAUCUAGCCCAAAAGCAAAAAUGGCAUCAAUGCUAGAAUUUGUGGCUAAAAACCUGAAAUUAGACUCAAUGUGGAUCAUCCCACUUUACUACUAGCUGAGAACAACUCCAACACGCCAAACCAUACUAGAAAAGCUGAUCAAAAUCAGCUUAAACUCCUAGCUGCCACUUUCGAAUCUAAAAAAGGAGGCCCAAAUAAGCAAUUCUAGAAUUUGAGUAUUAACUCACAAUAUACAUCAAUUGAGGCCAAGAAUUAACCUAUAGAUCCAAUAAGAAUAGAUCUAAAUCUACUAGAAGUGGAGGGAAAGCCAACUAAGAUCCCAUAAUAUCACAGCUAGAAAGAUUUGGAUCUAGAAAUCCAUGGAAAACUCAAAAACGCUAAAAAUCAACUUCAAAGUCCAUAUUUCAACAAUUAGAGACCAAUUUCUCCACAAUCUCUCCUUCAACUUUCUAAUUGAAUCAAGUCACCACAGUAAUUAGAAGCAUCAAAAUCCCACAAAACACCAAACUACUACUGGUGGUGCUAAAGUUCCUAGUGUACUACCCAACCUGCUGGGAGAAAUAGAGGAAUUUGACGGAUUUGUAGGAUCAAAUGUUGUAGAAUCGGAGUUCACAAGGAAGGGGCAGGGACAAGAGGUUGCUUGGAUCCACAUGUUUUCGUAGAAGCAUUGGUGAGGUAUAAUGAGCCCAAAGAAAAUUAGAACUAAAUCUAUCACUGCAAAAGAUCUAGGAUUUAGGCACCCUAAACCGACUUCUAGGGGCCUGAAUCUACCAAAAUUUAGUCUGGAUCCCAAACCGGGCCCUCCACAAAAGGGUCCAAAAUCUUAUCUUGUGCUCUAUCCAAAACCGCCUCUUGCCACGUGUCAAUAAUGGUCAAUAAUCACGAAGUCGACCACCAAGCAAAUUCAGGGUCAACAACUGGGCACCUAAAUGAGGGCCUGACAUUAUUCCAGUAGCAAAUGCAAUCCAGCACAGGAAUUCUAGGUACCCGAUUCCACCUUCUGGUCGCCCGAAAUUGGCUAGAACUUUAAUUUGGCUAGUUUCAGUGCUCUGAGUCCUUUUUCACGUCCCUUUUGAGCCAAAAUGACUCUGACUAGUCCCAAUACUCUGCAGAUGUGUCAACCAGCUGGUGCUACUGUAGUCAUUUUGACAGUUAACCCUCAAGGACACUACAUAUAUUAUUUAUUUAGGUCUGUUAGCUUAUAUGCAGGUUUUCGCUGUAAUUUCGAGCUUGGCAUAUUUAGUUGGUAUCAGAGUCUAAUGUGUUAAGUGGACUUAGUAAAUUGUAAGCUGUUGGCAAACCUUAAGCGUGUAAGACUUUGAGUGACAUGACUUGUAAUGAAAGUUGGUAAAUUGGGUCAUGUGAUAUCUUCAAAGGUGUAAUGAAGAGUAGCCGAAGGUGUUGGAUCUUUCCUUUCUUGAUAAUAUAUGUUGGCUCAAACAAUAUAGUGAAAUAGGUGGAAAAAGGGGAUGUCCUUCCAAACUUUCAUUUGAUUGGGAUGAGUUGUGUUUUAUCAAGUAAUUAAUGUUGUUCUGUUCCAAGUGGCUGAGAUGUCAUAGCAUGAAUAACCACUGACGAGAGCAACACCGACACAGCCUGAGCAGCAAGGCCCAGCUAGGUCUAGUGGAGUGCAGGAGCUUCACGAUUGGAUGACAAGAUUGGUAGGGUCAAUAAGGAGGCAGGUCGAGGCUUCCCAGCGCUAGGAAGAAAAAAAUUAAAGGAUAGCAUGAUUUGCUGUCAUGGUACGCUAUUGCGACAUAGGAAGUUCAUGAGUAGCGUUUGCCUCCAUCUAUUGCUAAAAUAAGAGCACCAGUAGUGGCUACACUAGUUGCCACAUGCCCUCCACCGCUGGACAUUUUAGCAGCUGCUACUCUUAUGACUACUGCAUUAGUGGCCGAUCAUGGUAUAUCAAAGGCAGAACAGGAGCGAGUCCGAGUUAGUUUGGCAAACUUUCAAUAGUUUGGCCUACCAAUGUUCAAUGAGUGAAAUGUAGAUCCCUAGGUAGUAAAGGCUCGGAGUGGUGCUAUAGACAAAAUAUUUGAGGAAUUGUACAUUGUUGAGCAGGACAGAGACCACCUAACAGUGCAUUGUUUAGAGGGUGAUGUACAUUGCUGGACGAGAGUUUGAUCAAGCCAACCUGAGUGUCCCUCUCCUAUGAUGUGGGAGUUUUGGAAAAUGCUAUUUGGUGCACAUUUUUCAGAAAAUGUGAGGAAGAAAUUAGAAGAUGAUUUAAGAAGUUGUAACACGGGGAUUACAAGGGGAGUAUGAGAGGGAAUUCACUCGCAUUCCUAACUGCAUUCCUUUUGCAAUGCGAGAUGAAUGGCACAAGACAUAUUGUUUUAAACAGUGGUUGCAUUAUGAGAUUUAUCAGUUUGUGCAACGUUAACAUCUGCAAACCUUAGAUGAGAUUAUUAGGAUGGCAUCUAGGUAUAGAGGCACAAUAAUAAUGCGUGAAGAAAGUGAGCUCUAGAGGAAGAAAGAAAUAAGACUCAGCUACUUGAGAGUUUAAGGGGAAAGUCCAAGUUCUAGGGGGCCUUCGAAGUAUCCACUACCUUGUUAUUAGGCGUCACAACCCUACCCACCAAGCUUGGAGGAGCAUUAACCAUAUUGAAGCCGCAGAAGCAGCCAAUAACGAAACCUUGGGCUGCACUCCAACAGCCCUCGCAAUAGCCGCGGUUGAAGCCGCUCUAAACACCGUCUCCGCAGAGAUGAUCGCAGUAGCACUCGUCUCUAUGUAGGGAGUGUGGCCUGGGCAUCGGCAGCUAAGACAAUUGCCUAGGCCCAAAAAAUAAUAUCACUUGGCCCUCCAAAUCCCUACCUGAUAGGAGUGGCUACACCCGGUGAACGUCACCUUGCUACUAGAUGUCUGUACAUGUACACCGCCACCACUCCCGACUAAGACACAAGACUGUGCAAAAACUGUAACAUGCAUGGAAUAAUAACCAUGCACCUCGAGAAUAUUAAAGCUCGACCAUAACACCGGAACUCAAUCGCAACAACCCACACUCACGUGCUAUUAUCUUAGGUCUUCCUAUGGGUUAUCAUAACCAGUGGUUCAGUUGCAUUUCAAGAAAAAUCAUGAGUGAAGUCGUGAUUGUACCAUUCGCUCUAAUACUACCUUAAUCUAUCAUUCCCUCGGGUCUAUUUUUUAAAACAAAUUCGAAAUCGAGCUAUCUUUAUAAAUCAGAGUAAACAGAAAACUGCCUAUUUUUUUAAAAAAAACCUUGACCCCUAAGGGUGCAGCAGACUCGCCAUAAAUACAAGAGAUUUUCAAAACAAACGGACAGAGUCUUCUCUGUAUUUGCACGGCAUGGCACAUGUACAAUUGUCAACCACGACCCCCAUCCACACAAACAACAAUCAUGAGUGACACAAAUUAUCAUUUCACUUCAUACAGCUAGCUGUCCUUAGUCACAACCAUUCCACAUCAAUUUCACAUUCAUUCCUACUAGUUGAAAGCGCAUCCCACACGAAGGCUUCACUUUAAAAUUCUAAUAUUUUGAAAAUACACGAAAAGCCGAUGAACCACUUUGAAAACCGUUUCCCACAUGGAAACCUUAUUUAAAGUAAAUAAGAUACCAUGAAGGGUGGAAAUCCAUCAUUCGAAAUCAAACUUUAAAACCCCAAGUAACCAAAACCUCAAGUUUUCAAAAUCUAUAAAUAUCCAAAACCUCACAUGGAUAAACAACAACUGAACCACGACCGUCUAUCUACUACUUGUGAAACGGGGUGGAAUCUGGACUAUCAAUAAUGUCUAUCUAGUGAUAUGCAUAAAAUAUAAGAAGAAUCCAAAGAUAAUACCGUAAGUCGGGACCUAUAUCACAAGACCACUAUCUACGUCCAUACAUAUUAUCCCGACCCUCACCGCCCGAGCUACUUGAGAAAAGUGGGGGGUGAGAAUAUGUAAACAAGUCUACCCCUUCCAGUGGGUACCGCAAGCCGACAAAAAUAAGCUGUACCCACCGAUAGAUUGUGCGGUGAACAGCAGUAGUAACAAGUAAAUCGAGUAUAAUAAUAAUGAAUAAUAUCCAUAGAUAAUCACCAAAGAAGCUGCUACUAUAAAGUGAGAUAAUAAAGCAAUGACCAACUAUAAUCAAUAAUCAAACUAGUGCAAUAGCAAUGAUAACUGAACUGGAUACAACCGUAAUAAUGGUAUAAAUAACCAUUACUGCAAAGAAAGAUAGAGAAAUGACUAUGCGUCAACUGCAAUUGAUAGCACAAGUAUACCCAAUCUAUACCGCCAUGUUGGUCUAAGGACCUCAGGAAAACCACAACUGCUCUGUUUGUCAUAUAACCCUGGCAAAUGGCCGCUGGGCUCACGGGUUGGUAACCGACCACUUUUUCGAAAAAGAACACACUCUUGUGGGGAAUCAGACAGCUGGUGUUCAUGAAAUGCUGUCGAACUGUGGCGAUCAAUGCAAAUAUGAUCAAUAGCCAAUCGUCGGCGAAUGGCCGACAAUCACCGCCCCUCGGGGCACACCGACCAACAGGUCAUCGAAGCUAUACAGAAACAUAGGUACUGACCACUCACGUCAACUAGGAUGGACAAGCUCAAUAUCAUCUCAAGUAUGUAAGUACCGACCAUUCAGGUCAACAAGAAAGUACGAGGUCAACAACGAUAAAAGUAUAGAGGAACCGACUACUCUGGUCAACUGGAAAGUGUGAGAUCAAUGACACUAGAGAUCAAUAACACUAUAAGUACACAGGCACGGACCACUCAGGUCAACAGGAAUAUAAAUGCAAGUGUCACUACCGCUCUACUUCUAUGUCAAGGCAAACAGGAGAGUGUACAAAGUAAAGCAAGGGUCGAAAUCAUGUGGUGAAGAUCUCAAGCACUGAAUAUGUAUAUGUGUAAGCAGUAAAAGAUAAAGAUAAAGGGAACAUCAUCGAGCGUGCACCACUGAAUCGACUUCGGAUCGAAGUACCCACCUGUGUUCGUCGCGGCGACUAGCUCCUGUGGGACGAAGGACGUUGACCGGACCUACGAUAGGUCCACCGAGUCAGGAUCUAAUCCACAUGACUCAAAACACAAUGCUCACAGACCCAAAACCACAUGCGAAAUCAAUUUCCCAAAACUGAUUCCCAAAACUCGUCGAGAAUCCCGAAAAUGUGUAAGGAUGCCCUCGGGACCCAUGAAACAUUCUGAAACACACUGACUCACACUGUGAGUCAACCGCUAUCUCGAAACACACCUAUUUAGGUGCUAGGACAACAAUCAUAAGUCUCUAAGUCAACUCGAUCGUCGUCGAUCGACCGCUCACCACCGGGCUUCCGUAAGUGUCCACUUUGGCACCGAAAGCCUCUACCACUCUUCGGUCGCCUCCGAACACAUGAGGGGACCACGGCAGCCAGCCAAUGAGGCUAGGUGAUGAUUUCUAGGGCAACCACGAAGCCGAAAACUCACUGCGAUGUGAAACCGCAUUCUGCAGGUGAUUUCGCCGAAAAGGCAUCGAAACCCUACUUUCAAUCUCACAGAGGCUUUAAAACUUGGAAGACAAGUCCAGAAGGUCACAAAUAAUGAUUACACACUGCUCGAGGUAGCCCACAAAGCCCUAAUUACAAAAAGGCCCCUAAGGAACCAACUAAUUGCAACUUUAUAUAGAAAAAAAGCAAUAUUUAGGGCCAUUAUCGAAAACCACACACUUUCGGACGUAGCAAGGGCACCGGCUGAUUGGUCUCGAUGUGCUGGACACCGUGCUCACAGUCCAGAGCGCACAUGACAGCCAAGAAGUGCUGUAGAUCCUUGUCAAGUUCAGUGCACAAAGGGCUCCGGUUGCAGGGAAGCCGAAACUCAACGGUGGAGCGUUGACGAUAGCAACAGAGGUGGGCACGAUGUUCAGCAAGUCGAGGGGUUCGCCUUGUUUGCCUUUGAAACGAUCAGGGAGCGUUGGACUACCGGGAACAGAGAGGGGCCUGCCAUUGAGCCCUAGAUUAAGGGGCUGCGGGCUCUCCUACCGGUUGCCGGGGCCUUUCGGCACGCGCUACGGCUAGGGUCGACGGCGGACGGGGAGGGAAGCACGAUGCUUCCCUCGGCCGGUGGCAACGGUGAUUGGAGAAGCUCGGCGAGCACAGAUCCCAGCCAGGCUAGGGAGAGCCGGGGUAGGUCGGGUCGUUGGCGCCGAACCUCCAGAGGCCAAGGAAGUCGAUGGCGGGGAUCGGCGACGGUGGCGGCGACAACCAUGGAUUUGAGGAGAUGAGCUCCUCUGCCCCAGGUCGCCGAGGAGGAGAUGCUGUGGCUGCGGCGGCGCCGACGGAGCACGAGGACACCGGGGGAGUUGGCCGGAGCACGACGGCACUGGGGAAGGUCAGGAAAGGGUGGUUUGAGCCCUCCUCUAUGCUCAGGCUCCAAGAACAAGGAGAGAAUGAGAGAGAGGAGAGAAAAAUGAGAGAGAAAGAGAGAGAGAGAGAGAGAGAGAGAAAGAGAGAGUUGGAGAAGGGUUCGCGGUCACCGGCAGCGGUCUUCGGUAGGGUGGCAGCGCGUGGUGCAGUGGUGGGGAGGUAAAAUGGGUGGCUGUGGUGGAGGUGGAGCAAAGAGGCUGGGGUUUAGAGAAGGGAAGGAGAAGAACCCUAAAUGGGUUUAAGUUCUCAUGUGGCAUUUUUACACAGAAGCCCUCAAAAACUCCAAAUACCCAGCCAAGCCCCUCACAGCACACGUAAAAUGCAGAAUGGCAACCCCAUGUGCGAUUUCGCACAAUUCGAAGCAUAAAAUAUUGGGGAUUUUCAAGAAUUCAAAUUUUGCUAAUUUGACCCCAUCUUAGUUAUCGUGUAAUUGCGGUAAAUCCAUCCAUCAGAUUUACGAACAGACUGUGCCAGCACAUUCAGCACUUUCGGGCUUCAAGAUCAUGCUUUCGCUUCACGUGAUUUGGUCACGGAUUCGCGAAGAUCCGAUCCAUCCCUUUUUCUCUCUCACACACACGCAUAUAUAUAUAUAUAUAUAUAUAUAUAUAUAUAUAUAGUCCGGCUACUAUUCUCUUGUGAGUACGAUCGCCAUCGUACUCAUAUGUUGUUUUCGAUGAUAAAGCUUCCGAAUCGACAAUCCAUACCGUUAAACAUUAUCUAGAGCAUUUAAAACUUCUAGAAAUUAAAUUUCAUAAUUUUUCAACAUCAUUUACCUUACGUCAAAAGCUCACAAAAUUGACAAUUUUUAACGGCCGAUAUGGGAUACUUGCAAGUUUAACGGUAUAAAAGAAUUGAAAUAUGUUGAAUUUUUGAUAGAAAAUUCUAUUCACUAUCUAGAUAAAGAUCAAUAACUCCGAUCUUAAAUUGAAGGAUCCGAUCAUCCAUUUUUAGGACGUCGUUCGAUUUUGACCGUUCAUUUUAUGCCCGUUUGAUGGACUUUAUUAUGAUUUCAAAAAAUUACGAAAUUUUUUUUUGUGAAGUUUCAAAUGCUCUAGAUCAUAUUUAACGGAGUGGAUCGUCGAUUUGGAAGCCCCAUCAUCGAAAACAAUACGAAGGGCCCAAUACUCAUAAGAGUAUAGUACCCCUACUAUAAGUAUAGUUAAUAUAUAAUAUCUAUAUAUAAUAAUAUAUAUUAAUAUAUAUAUUAUAUAUAUAAUAUAUAUAUAUAUAGUUUUAUGAGUUGAGCUAGAAUGCUAUCGAGUCAACAAAUCGGGCCUUUCGUGUGGCCAACAAUUUUGUUUUCCAAUGAUGGCAGACCUGUCAAAUCGACGAUCCGCACCGUUGAAUAUGAUCUAUACCACUUAAAGUGUCUAGAAACCAAAUUUCAUAUUUUUUUGAUAUUGUUUUCUUAUCCAUCGAGUGGAUACAAAAAUGAACGGCUGACAAGAAAUAUCUUUUAAUAAGUGAUGAUAAAAAUUUUAUAAUCAAGAUCGAGAGUAUAGAUGUUGUUCUAAAUAGUUUAAAGAGUUUUCUAACUAAAUUCAAUUGAUUUGGAUAUCUUUACACCAUUAAACGCGAAAAUGGCUCAUAUCGACCGUUAAAAUUAUAAAUUGUGAAACUCUUUGAUCAUUAGGUUAAUAAUGUCGAAAAAAUUUGAAAUUUGGUUUCUAGAUACUUCAAAUGGUAUAGAUCAUGUUCAACAGUGCCGAUCAUCGAUUUGGAGGCUCCAUCAUCGAAAACAAUUGGGUGGCAACGGAACCUGUUUGCUACUGAUAGUAUUCUAGCUCAACUCGUUAUAUAUAUAUAUAUAUAUAGAGUCCGACUAUGGUGCUUGUAAAAGUACCAAGCACUUAGUGCUUGUGAAUUUUUUACCGUUAGAUCUACGCCUUUGAUCAUUUUCACCCAUUAGAUUAUACUAUUCAACCAACCACCUACUCAACCCAAGGGGGCCCACAUCAUCCUAAUCACACAUUUAUUAAUCGAAGGGCUAAAAACUUACAAGCACAAAUGACUUGGUACUUUUAAAAGCAUAGGAGCUCAAUUAUAUAUAUAUAUAUAUAUAUAUAUAUAAGAGAGAGAGAGAGAGAGAGAGAGAGAAGAGAGAGAGAGAGAGAGAGAGAGAGAGCCCGGCUACUAUACUAUUAUGAGUACGAUCGCCCUUGUACUUAUAAGUUGUUUUCGAUGAUAGAGCUUCCGAAUCAACGAUCCACACCGUUAAACGUUAUCUAGAGCAUUUGAAACAUCUAGAAAUCAAAUUUCAUAAUUUUUCGACAUCAUUUACCUUACGAUCAAAAGCUCACAAAAUUAACAAUUUUUAACGGCCGGUAUGGAAUGCUUGCUAGUUUAACGGUGCAAAAGAAUCCGAAUAGGUUGAAUUUUUGAUAGAAAAUUCUAUUCACUACCUAGAUAAAGAUCAAUAACUCCGAUCUUAAAUUGAAGGAUCCGAUCAUCCAUUUUUAAGACAUCGUUCGAUUUCGACUGUUCAUUUUAUGCCCGCUUGAUGGACUUUAUUAUGAUUUCAAAAAAUUACGAAAUUUUUUUUUGUGAAGUUUCAAAUGCUCUAGAUCAUAUUUAACGGAGUGGAUCGUCGAUUCGGAAGCUCCAUCAUCGAAAACAACUUAUGAGUACGANAAUUUUGACCGUUCAUUUUAUACCCGCUUGAUGGACUUUAUUAUGAUUUCGAAAAAUUACGAAAUUUACUUUAAAGAAGUAACAUAUAAGUCUGGAAUGACUCGUGCUGAAUUCGGAAUAAAAACAGGAGAUUUAAAAUUUAAAGUUUCAUGUCAUUCUGACACCCGAAAAGUAAAAAAUAAUAUCCGACUGUUAUCUGCUAGAGAUUACAGUUUGGUAGAGCUUUUGGUGACAAAAAAUGGUUCAAACUGGAAAGUUAAGAUAUUUUAUUUCUUAUUAAGUAAAACCGAGCCUGUUUGUCAAAUUUGAGAGAAAACAGACAUUUAGAAGGGCUCCGGCGAAAAGUAUCAGAUUUCGAGCUGCUAAACUGAAAUUGUGCUAGUUAAUGUGAAUAGUGUGUUGUUGAGGGGGCUACUUGUAAAAAGGGUAUUCUUCCCUUUUUUUCUUCUUCUUCACAGCCAGCACACUCCACAAUGUACACCCACACGUUUGGAGAGGGAGAGAGAGAAACCCUCCCUUUUCUCUCUCUAAAUAUCUCUCUCAUCUUUCUAAAUCUCUCUCUUAAAUUCGCGGCGUUGGCAGAGAGCGAGCUUGUGAACACGUUGGAAGCGACGGAUCGAGUCUUCGUGCGCCCGGUUGAGCGGCGUGCUUUCGAUUCGGCGUUUGCAAUUUCGGUAAGUGUUUAGGAUUUGGUUUAAUCAUUAAUGCUUAGUAUUCUAGUAAUCUCUAAAGUGUUUCUAGCAUGUCGCUCCAUUUAAUUUUGGAAUAUUUGGAGGUUAAUUUCAUGCUAGGGCUUUAAAUGAGGGUUUGGAAAUUAGAGGGUUUUGAUCUAAUUAAACCCUAUUGUUCUCUAAUUGAAGUUUAGAGAAUGAUCCUUGAAGACUCUAGGUUGAGGAUCGGCGAGUGUUCGGUUGCCGAUUGCGAGUUCGGGCCGAACCGGAUAGCCCGUGCCAUGCGAGGCCGAUUGAAAGUGUCGACAAGUAAUCGGAGAGCGUUGCGAGGUGGGUUGUGCUCAUCGAAGAUAUUAGCUUGCUUCCACGUCGAAGUAGAAUGCAGUUUUAUUGUUGAUGCAUAUAAUGGUAGUUAAUUGCAAAACAUGUAAAUGCACGAGAUGAAUGCUAAGUUGAACUACCAUUAGAUGAUAAUGAUAACGUAUGAGUUUCUUGUUGAUGCAUAUAUUACAUAAUGGUAGUUAGUUGCUAGACGAAGGCAUGAGAUGCUAUGUCAUGGACUGCCAUUAGAUGAUAAAUAUAUAUGCUAGUUGAUAAAUGCAUGUUGACAUGUUAAGAGAAUAUGUUAGAGGAUACACAUGCAUGUUGAUAUAUGUGGAUAUUAUAUAGUGUAGCAUUGUGAGCUUGACACAUGGACUUAGGAUGCAUGAGAAUUAGGUCUUGUGACAUGGAGUCCUAUAGUGCAAAGAACAUGAAAACUAUAAUACUCGAUGUGGACAAGUAGAAUGUCAAGUAGAUCGAGUGGCAUUUGGACUAGUAUAGUAGAGACACUAUGGCAUGAACAUAGGGAUAGCUGAUUUCCUGAGUCGUGGAUAUGUGCUACGUGAAACUAGUGUAGUAGAGACACUUGUUACAUUAUUGUUGGGAUUAGUGGAUUUCCCGUGUUGUUGUUAACCCUAGUAGAUAGAGUAUCCUCGAUGAGAGGAUUGGAUCAUACUCACAUAGUCUGUUUUUGCUUGGCGUGGUCGCUCCACCCAAGCAGUGGUCUCUGGAGUACUUCACGAUAGGGGCAGACGUAGUUGUCCCGCAGACGGUCUUGUUGUGCUAGUGCAUAUUCUCCUCACCUAUGAGAUUUUCAAAGUGAGUCGAGGCGUAACCUUCGGGCUAGCUAAGCAAAUCGGGUGACAAGCAUGUGAGCUAUAGUUGAAUCCCAGUAGAGUAGAUUCGGAGUCCCAGUUGAGUGGAUUUAAGGCCGAGGUGAAUGUGAGAUGUUGUCACGCCCCGAGCCCGAUCCUUUUGGCCGGUUCGAGAGCGUCGAACAGACGCCGAACGGACAGAGCCUCCCCUGUCCGCCCAAGGCUCAACAACUAGUAUCAAUAGAGUAUAAAGUUUGCAUAAGCGGAAGCAUACACAAUGGCUUGCACGAGGGCAAGCAAUAGCCAAUAGUGAAAGAAUCUACUACAUCAUCAUACAAAUAUUUGAUUAGAUUUAAAUCACAUACAUGCAUUCAACUUUAAUACAACUUUGCAUCAUUUAUUUUAUACAUCACAAGUUCUCCAAAAUAUGAUCCUUUUUUCAUUUAGCAUAAAUAAAGUCUUCUACAUCAUUCCUUUAACAUGAUCACAAUACUAACAUCAUCAAAUACAAAAGAUGAUAAUAAGGGGUAUGCAACUAUGAAAAUAAAACAUCUCGGACGGUCUCUACCUAGGGCGCGAUGCCCUUACCGCGAUCGUCUGCCGGCUCGCUCGGCCCCGGCUCUGUGGAAAUAGGGGUGUGAGAACUACAACAAAGUUCCCAGUGGGUUCGGCAACCAACCACGCCGACUAUCCCACUAGGUCUAAUCAGGCAUAAUAGAAUAGAAGAAAGAAAGUAACCAACUAACAAAUGCAACUAAUAUACCUGAACAAUAUAAAAUGCGAUGCUCGAUAUAAUGCUCAUGAUGAAUGCAGGAUCACAAUUUCUUUACCCAAUCUCUUGACUAACCCGUAGGUUUAGCCCUCAACAAACUCACCAACCCAAAAUCCUAUUAACCGGGGAGAUACCCGCUACAACCCGAUAGGACCGUUCUCUGGGGAGAUACCCACUACAACCCAGUGAUGUCGACUCCGGAGCACAUCGCCCGAGGGGGAGCUACCACCCUCGAGUAAGGACUAAAGGUGAGUACGAUCAAUCCUACAUUGAGGAUUCCAAGUUCAAUCCAUUCCUUAACUGUAAGGAAGACCAUACUCAAAUGACCCUUAACUUUAAGGUUGAAAUAUCAUAAUAUCUCAAUCAUUAUUUUCUUUGCAUUCUUUACCAUCACUUGUGUCAUAUACACUACUAUAUUCUUGGACUCAUGCCACACUUGUUUUCUAAGUGUUAUGUUCUCGUUCUCAUGCCAAAUGCCAUACUUGUUUUCUAAGUGUUCUAGACUCAUCAAUGUCACUCACUAGAUCUAUGUCCAUGUGUCACUUUUGUUCACUAACCCUUCUAGAUUCUUGUCACUUGUCAUGCAUAAAUAGGGUUUAUAAUUCUCACAUUCUUACAAGUAUUUCAUACAAAAUUAAAUUCACAAUCAUGCCAUAAAAGCUCACAAUCAACCCUACUAUGCAAUAUGCUCAAUAUAUACAUAUAUGUUCAAACAUGAGACUUUAGACAUAAAGGGAUUUCCAAGGUUCUUGGAAUGCACUACCCACCUCGAGUGGUCGUGUGGGUGUAGAAUAUGACGACUCCCGAACUUUACGAAAGCCGAUCCCGCGUCCUAUAACCAAAAUAGUGCCACAUUAGGCCUUUUGUACAUGAACCAUACUUAAACAUUUUCAUAAUGUCGAACGGAGUUGUCCAACGCGUCAAGAACACCUCCAAUUAGAGGCUGUUUGGUUGGAUGUAGUUGCAGAAACAGUGUAGUUGGAAAUACAUGCAGUUGCAAAUGCUGCAGUUGUAACUACACCUAGUCUGUUUAGUUUUACGCAGUUGCAACUGCUGCAGUUACAUUUCUUCUGUUUGGUAAUAUGCAGUUGAUAGUUGUAUUUGUGAAUUUUGUCACCUUUUCAGAUCGAGUAGUGAGAUUACCUUCACUAAACAUAAAAUAAUUGUAUAAGUUUAUUAAUCAUUUAAAUUUACUAUUUAUAAAUAAAUAAGUAGAUAUAUAUAAUAUUCUUCAACUUAUUAAUCGACACAUUUAAAAUUUUUAAUUUAUUUAAUUUUAAUAUGUAAAUCAAACUUUAAAAUUUAAACGAUUCUCUCAUUUUUUUUUUCAAAUUUAAUAAUUAUAAUUAAUUAAAACUUAUUAAAUUAACAUACACGAUCACAUUCUAUAAAUUUUUUUUAAAAAAAAUAUAUUUAUAUUUUAAAUAAAAAAAAUUUAAAAAUUUUGAUUUUUUUGCACAAAACUUGUAUUGUCUAAAAAAUUUUAUUAGUAUGAGUUUAUUUACAAGUAUUUUUAUUUACCUAUAUACAUAUAUUAUUUAUUUAUUUAGCUAUUUAUUUAUUUAUUUAUUAUUGUUAAUUUGUGGGUGAUCCUAUCCCUCACCAACUGCUGCAGUUGGAACUACGGCCAAUUUGGAUGUAGUUCCAACUGCAGCAUUUGGACCUUCUUGUGUAGUUGGAACUGCAGCAGUUGAACUCAACUACACUAAACCAAACAAAGGAAUUGAGGUUGCACGUAUUUGCAACUGCACUGCAGUUGCAAAUGCGUGCAACCAAACAGCCCCUUAGGUUUCUACGAGGUCAAUUCGCCCUUGAAAAAUCCUAGGGCAAAAGUCCUAAAUUUGAGCCCUAACAAUGUCAUCUAGGGCUUCCACCUAGAUCGAUCUUGUUGCUAAGCAAAGGAUAUCUUAGAAUCACUUGGGAAGCUCUCUAAUAAAGUUUCUAAGCUCUUGGAACCAACCCUAGGGCAUCUAACUCAACCCCCAAGGAUUCACCAUGAGAGCACCUUGAGCUCUCAUGGGUGUCAUGUUGUUCUUGGCUCAAAGAGCUUCUAAGACCUCUAAGGAGCACAAAGCUCCAAUUCCUUAGGUCAAAACCCAAACCCUAGAGGAAACCUUACAAGAACUUACCUCUAGUCCAAGUCCUAGCAAGCUCCUUCUUGUUGCAGAGCUUCGAGAGCCACCAAAUCCACCAAAAAUCCUCCUCCAAGCCUUUCCUUCUACUUCUCCAAGCUCUAGGCUUAGCUCUCUAGAGAGAGAAAAGAGAGAAAGUGAGAGGGAGAGGUGUGUGUGUGUUUGCUGUGAAAAGGGGAGAGGAUUGGGCCAUAUAAGGUGUUGUGAUAAAUGCAUUUAAGCCCUCGCACUUUAUCCCCAGUACACUGCCCAGACUGGGCAUUUUUCGCAGUCAGGGACCGGUCUCCCCGACAUGGGACCGGUCCCCGAGAGCUUCUCCAGCGGACUGCGCAGGCUGUGCGCGAUGCAACCGGUCUCCCUCAAUGGGACCGGUCUCUGGGGACCGGUCUCUCCUCGCAAGGACUGGUUCCCGAGAGCUGAUUUUUCAGGACUUAGCCGAUUUCUCAGCCAUCUCGCUGCCUACGCGUUCGGGGACCGGUCUCUCCCACCAGGGACCGGUCCCCGAGAGCACAAAACCUGCAGUUUGCAAAUUUUGAUUUCCAAAAGCUCUCGAAGAUCCCCAGUAAUGCAUUUUGCAUUAUUUGAUGCCUUCGGCCUCUCCGAAGUGUACCAACCUCGCACUUUGGCCAAUUUGACCAAGGUUCGAAUUUAAUUACCGAGGUUUCGGUAUGUUACAGACGUCCUUCACCUCGAACCUGGCUUUAUGCGGUAUUCCGUGGAUGAUUAACUCAAGACCGAGUCGAGUGGAUAGUUUGAUAAAGGUAAAUAAAACCUUAUGAGUAGAAUUGUGAAUGACAUGAAUCUAAGAUAGAGGAAACCUCAGAUGUCAAUUGGAUGAGCUAUGAAUAGUAGGAUUGAAAGUAGAAUUAGCCGAUCUACUUAGCUUAUUGCCUGUUGAGUUGCAUAAUUGCAUGAUUUGCAUUGUUACAUGUUGUUGAGAGGCAUAACAUGUAUUUUAGUACUUGCAUAUAUAAAGCUGUGGAUGUUUGUUCGACUAACAUGUUGCAGUGCCUCCUUCGGACCUAGUGGGUCGAGCUUUUCCCUUGGGUGGCCGUACCCACUGGAAACUAUGGACAAUAGUUCUUACCCGACGUGGUUUUGGGGUUUUAGGUUCGCACGCGUGCGGCGCGGCGGCGCAAGGAAAUGGCGUAGCUUCGUAGAUAGCGCCCUACCACAAAGACCAGAGAUAGCAUUACCCCGAGUCGGCCUAGCUAGGGUUUAUAGAAAAGAAGAAUACAAUAUUGUAAUAAUAUUGAUUGUAUUUGGAGGAAAAGAAAAUAAAAAUGUAAUAUGUAAAAAGCAUGUGAUGUGAAUGCUUAUAAUAGCUUAGUUGUUUUAUGUUUUUGAUACUUCCUUAUGCAAUCCUUGCUUGAAAUUUGUUCCUGGUUGGAACCUCGCGAAUUGUAUUGAUUGCGACGCCUAGGACGUAUUGGAAAAACUCUGUCCCUUCGGCAGUCUGUUAACGGGCCCAAAUCCGACCAAAUCGGUGGGUCUCGGGGCGUGACACUCUAGAUCAUAUUUAACGGAGUGGAUCAUCGAAGACAACUUAUGAGUACGAAAGGCCCAAUACUCGUAAUAGUAUAGUAGCUCUACGCUAUAUAUAUAUAAAGCAUAAAGUAGUUCGUGCUUCCGAUUUUUUAGCCCUUAGAUCAACCCCAUUGAUCAUUUCGAACCAUUGGAUUAAUAUUAUUAACCAAUAGGGACUACUCAAACCCUAGGGGGACCACUUAACCCUAAAGGGACCGCUAUCAUCCCAACCGUUGAAUCUUUGAUCUAAGGGCUAAAAAAUCGGAAGCACCAACUACUUUAUGCUUCCGAUAACAUAGUAGCUCUACGCUAUAUAUAUAUAUAUAUAUAUAUAUAUAUAGAGAGAGAGAGAGAGAGAGAGAGAGAGAGAGAGAGAGAGUUGAGCUAGAAUACUCUCAAAAGCAUCAAGGGGGUGGUGCUUUUGAAUUUUUAACCAUUGGAUGGAGAGAUGUAGGGUUGAGAUGAUGGCGUUAGGUGGUGGUAGGUGGUGGUAGGUGGAAUAGUGUUUGAUCUAAGGGGUAUUAGUAAUUAAGGAGUAGAUCCAAGGGCUAGAAACUUAGAAGCACCAAGGGAUUGGUGCUUUUAAAAGUAUUCUAGCUCAAUUCUAUAUAUAUAUAUAUAUAUAUAUAUAUAUAUAUAUANUCACUAAAUUUCUUAAAUUUCAUGUUUUACUACCUAAACAAGGUAUUGAUCAAGUAACCAAAUACGGAGCACAAAAUCAUUAAAUUUUAUAGGAUAUAUACCACCAAAGUCUUUCAAAAGGUCUGAGAAUUUCCUCCGAUUCAUUUCAAAUUGUGAACGUAUCUUAUGAUUCAUUUUUUUUGCACUAUUCUUAAAUUGUUCUUUUCUAAGAUUUUAAAGCUGCAAGUUUUGUUGCUGCUUUAGUUACAGCUUGUGUUGCUAUUUCUAAUGCAAUUACUGUUGCUUCAGCUGCAGAAUGUACUGUUACUACUACUGCUACGCAUGCAGUUUAUGCCGCUCCUUUAGAUGCAGCUUAUGCUGCUACUUUAGCUACUGAAGAGUUAGACAGCAACACCCCAAUCCAUUCUAACCAAAUUGAUCCUGACUCAAUCCCUUUGAUUGUGUAUAUAUUCCUUGGCUUCCACAUGGAUAGCUACGAAAAAAAAGAAAAAAAUAAUCCCAAAAUUGAGGGGUUGUUUGUAAAAAUGAAAUCAUAUGCAACAAAAAAAAAAAUAUAUAGAUUAAUAAAUGUCAUUGUUAUGAAUUACUUAAUGGCUAUAAAAUGGUUCCCUGCAAAUGAUCAAGGCAUCCAAAUACUGCCUACCUGCUAUUGAUCUAUUGCUUCAUUUUCUAAAGAGGCAGAAGUCCCACAGUUUAUAAGAAGCCAUUUUAUCAUAAUCACAAAAAAGAAAAAAAAAAAUUGAACAUGGCAUCUCAGCAAGUAUAUAGAAAGAAGUAAAGAUUGCUUUAACUAGGAAGCAGAAAAAAGAGAUUGAGUUGUUUCACUUUUGCUUCAACGAUCGAUUCAGCUUCGUCCCCGUUGGUUGCGGCCAAAACCUAAACUCUGCCCCUAUCACAGGCUAUGAACGACACCCCCCACCUCUCAAUCCCUCUCUUUGCUAUCGAAUUUCUUGCUAAAAAUUAAUUAUAUAUUAUAUGGCGUAAUAAUUAUAUAGAUUGACGAAACAUUUGUCAAUAUAUUUAAAUCUUUUUUCUUAGGGUUAAUUGCAUACAGCUCCAUAUAAAAAUAUUGAAUAGCAAAUAUAUCCCUAUAAAGUUCAAGUUUUCAUUUUUAUCCUUGCAAAAGUCCAGGAUAUUCAUAUUUACCCCUCUGGUUUGUUAUAGUUAGUGCAUUGUUUAUUUUUUAAUAGCAGAUAAGUGAAAUGAUAUUUUUACCCUUACAAAUAUAUCCCUCCAAAAGCGCCAACUGUUAAAAUUAUGCAAAAAUAUCCUCCCAAAAAAGUAUUCUACCUAAUAAUAUAAGGGGGGUAAAAAGAUCAAUUUAACUCAUUCACUAAUAAGGAUUAAGUAUUUUACUUAUGGUUAACUAUAUCUUUCUAAUAGAUCCUAAUAGCAGGAGUAUAUUUAAAAAUAUUAGGACUUUUGAAGGGACAAAAAUUAAAAGUUGAACUUUGUAAAGAUAUAUCUGUUAUUCAAUAGGUUUAUAAGGAGUUGUAUGCAUUUAACACUUGUUUUUUCUUCUUCCUAUUCGGUUCCAUGUUUUGCUUUUCCUAUUUCUUAAGGUGCAGUUUCUGAUACUACUUCAACUGGGGCAUGUGCAGCAUCGUUUGCUGCUAUUUUUUACUUCAGCUGCAAGAUGUGUUCAUCUACAGUUGCUGCUCAAGCUGCUUUUGUUUCAACCGAGCAAUGCGUUGUUGUUUCUGUUGCCAUAGCUUCUGCAUCAGCUGCUGCUUCAAAUGCAAUUUAUUCUAUUGAUUUAGCAGAGAUCAAGCUGCUGUUGCUUUAGCUGAGAAAUAUGCUACAGCUUCUACAUCUGUUGCUACUUUAAGUACAGAUUAUGUGUAACAUACCAAAUUUUAGUAUAAAAAUAAAAAUAAAUAAAAAUAGUGUGAGAAACUAUUUUUAUUGAAUUUAGAGAAGUAAAACAUAAGUCAGAAAUGAUUUAUGCUGAAAUCGGAAUGAAAACAGAAAAUUUAGAAUUUUCUAUUAGAAACGAGACAGAUAAAUUAGUAGAAAAUAUACAGUAUCAGAAAAUUCUGAAAAUUGGAGGAUAAGCCAGAAUUAUUUUUAUGAGGCUAGAUUUAAAGUUUCAUGUCAUUCUGACACCCGGAAGAUAGAAAAUAAAAUCCGACAGCUAUCUGAUAAAUAUUACAGUUCGGUACAGCUUUCGGUGACCAAACCGAAUCGAAACUAAAAUAUUAAAAUUUUUUUGGACUCGUUAAGUAAAACCGAAUAUAACUGUCAAAUUUGAGCUCAAACAGAUGUUCAGGGAGUUCCGACGAAAAAUACCAAAUUUCGAACUGCCCGAAAAUGAAUAGUGCUUUGGGGUGUAAUGUAUUAAGAAGCCUUUUGCUUCUUCUUCCUCAGCCGACCACACCACCCCACAACACACGCACGCAUGGGAAGGGAGAGAGAAACUCUCCUUUCUCUAUCUAAAGAUCUCUCUCAUCUCUCCAAAUCUCUCUAUAAAAAUUUGAGGGUUGGUAGAGAGCGAACUUGCGAAUGCGUUGGAGGCGUCGGUUCGAGCUCUCGUGCGGCCGUUAGAGCGGCGUGCUAUCGUCGCGGCGUUCACAUUGUGGUAAACUUUUGGAAUUUGGCUUAAUCCUUACCUUUAAGUAUUCUAAUAGCGUCUAAUGAGCAUUGUUAGCAUGUUACUCCAUUUAAUUUGGAUUAUUUAGAGGUUAAUUGCAUAUUAGGGCUCCGAAUCGGAUUUUAGAAAAUAGUAGGGUGUGAUCUCAUUUGACCCUCUAUAAACCUAAUUGCUAGGUGAACGAAUGCGUUGGCGAAGUCGGUUCGGCGAUUCGUCGAGCCUACGCGAAGUUAUUAAAGAAACGGACGUUUAGCCUUCGUUUCCGCCUAGAGGGCCGAGGCGACUUCGUAAAAUCAUGAAAAUGUAUUUGGAGCACCGUGACACAUAAUCUAAGACUUUAAUUUUCGGAUCGUGGAUUGGAGGCCGUUCGGGUGGUCGCGCGAGAGUUCGGGCUGAACCGGAUGCCGGGUGCCGCGGGAGGCCGAUUGCAAGUGACUACAAGCAAUGGGAGAGCGUUACGAGGUGGGUUGUGCUCACCGAAGCGAUUAGGUCGCUUCCAUGUCGAAGUGGAGUAUGGUUUUCUAAUUGAUGCAUACAUACAUUAUGAUUGCUAAUUGCAUUGGUAGUUGAUUGUAAAGUAAAUGAAUGUACGAGAUUAUGCUAAUCAAUAAUGCAUAAAUGAGAUAUUAAUAAGGAAUACAUAAGCUAUAUGCUAAGAGAAUGAAUGAUCUAGAUGCUAAAGUAUGCAUGUGCAUGAAAUGCUAAAGAACAUAUGAAUGUUGAUAUUAUUAGAAAUAUGCUAGCUGGUAUAUGUGGAUGAUGACAUAUUGUGAAUUAUUAUAUUGUGGAUUAUGUUAAAUGGAGAUAUAUACAUGAUGACAUAUUGCAUAUGAUAGAUGAACUAUGCACGUUGACAUAUAGAGGAUUAUGUUAAUUGACAUUUGUAUGUUGAACUUGGGUCGGUAAACUCUAGGUGAAUUAGAGAACUUGACGUUGGAAAAUAAUAACGUAUUGAACUAUGAUAUACGAUGUGGACAAGUAGGAUAUCAAAAAGAUCGAGUGGCAUAUGAUUAGUGUAGUGGAAACACUUAUAGCAUGUUGAACACUUAGAGAACAAGUGUGGCAUUAGUGAAUGAGUUCAAGAAUAUAGUAGUGCAUAUGACCUUAGUUAGUUAAUUCGCGUUUAAUUUGCGAAUUAUUCGCGACUUUUUCGAAAACCGAAUUAAACGCCGGCAUCCGAAUUUUUCCAAAACAUGCGUAAAAAAACGUGUUUUUUUCAGCAAUAAUAAUCAUCCGCGAAUCAUUCGCGAUUCGCGAAUGAUUCGUCCAAAGAAACGGCGGUCGCGGACUCGCGGCCGCGUCGUCGCCGCCAUCGUCGGCGUCCUCCUCCUCCAUCGCUUUCGUCGCGGAACUUUGGAUCACUGUAAAAUUCCUCGAAAAAAAAAAUUUUCGCUAAAAUUUUUUUUUCCAAACAAUAGGUUGUCCCUCAAAUUUUUUUUUAAAAAAUUAUUUUAUAAAUUUUGAAAAAAAAAUCGAGUUUGUGACUUGAGACUUGAGAGCAAGCGGUAGAAAUGGCGCUGGGUUUGGGAAGAAGAAGAAGGAAAAUCGGGGCUUUCGAGAACAGGAUGGGGCGCGGUCCACGAGGCCACUUUGGCCUCGUGGACCGCAUGAGAGGGAGGUCCACCGUGGACCUCCCUCUCAUAAGUCAUUAACUUUAUAUAUAUAUAUAUAUAUAUAUAAAAUUUUAUUUAUAAAUAUAUAUUUAUUUAUUAUAUAUAGUAUUCUAUUUUUAUAUAAAAAUAUUAUUAUAUAACAUUUUAUUUAUAAUGAUAAUAUAGUUUGCUAUUCUUUUUACUUAAUUAGCUUAAUUUUGUAGUUUUUUAUUCUUAUAUUCUUAAGAAAUAUGAGUAUUUAUACUAAUAGAAUAAAUCUUGAGAAAAAAUAAUUUUAAUUUAAUAGCCGAAUUUUUGAUCCCGAAUUUUUAAUUGAAGAACGUAUAAUAUCCGUAUAAAUCACGUAUCCGAAUAAUUACUGAAUCCGUUUUUUAGCCGUAUUUUUCAACGAAUUUAAAAAUUAGAAGACGAAUUUUAUCCGAAUUAUAUCCGUACCGAAUUUUUGCCGAAUCCGAAUUAACUAACUAUGCAUAUGACACAAGUGAUGGUAAACAAUGCAAAGAAAAGAAUGAUUGAGAUAUUAUGACAUUUCAAUAUUAGAGUUAAGGGUCAUUUGAGCAUGGUCAUCCUUAAAGUUAAGGAAUGGAUUGAACUUGGAAUCCUCAAUCCAGGAUUGAUCGUACUCACCUUUAGUCCUUGCUCGAGGGUGGUAGCUCCCCCUCGGGCGAUGUGCUCCGGAGUCGACAUCACUGGGUUGUAGCGGGUAUCUCCCCAGAGAACGGUCCUAUCGGGUUGUAGCGUGUAUCUCCCCGGUUAAUAGGAUUUUGGGUUGGUGAGUUUGUUGAGUGCGAAACCUACGGGUUAGCCAAGAGAUUGGGUAAUAAAAUCUUUCAUUCAUCAUGAAUUGACUCAAGACCGAGUUGAGUGGCAUAGUUGGCUAAGGUCAAUGUAACCUUAGGAAAGAAUGAAAACUGAGUAAAGUGUGGCUAAGAAUAAAGAAUAAAGAAUGACAUGUGAUACAGAAUUGCCAAUAUUAUAAAGAAUAGUAAGUGAUAGAGAGUAGAAUCAAUUAAUCUACUUGUAUGAGUUGCUUGAUAUACAUAUUGCAUGUCUUGAGGCACAAACAUGUAUUUAAUAUUUGUAUUAAUUAUUUGUGGAUAUCUGUUGGAGUAACAUGUUUGUAAUGCCUCCUUUGGACUUGGUGGGUCGAGCUUUUUCCUUGGGUAGCCGUACCUACUGGGAACUAUGGAUAAUAGUUCUCACCCCCGUGUUGUUUUUGGGGGUACAGGUUCACACGUGAGCGGCGCGGCGGUGCGAGGAAAGGGUGUAGCUCCGUAGAUAGCGCCCUACCACCGAGACCAGAAAUAGCAUUACCCCGAGUCGGCUUAGCUAGGGGUUGUAGAAAAGAUGUAAAACAAUAUUGUAAUAAUCUUGAUUGUAUUUGGAAGAAAAGAAAAGGAAAAGUGUAAUAUGUGAUGUAGAAUGUAUUAAGUAAAUUGAAUGCAUGUAAUAACUUAGUUGUUUAUGUUUUUGAUACUUCCUUAUGCAAUCUGUAUGUUGAAUAUCGUUCCUGGUUGGAAACUCUUGUAAUGUAUUGAUUGCGACGCCUUGGACGUACAGGGUAGACUCUGUCCGCGGUACAGGAGAAAUCCUGUCCGUUCGGCGGUCUGUUGGCGUGCCCGAAUCCGACCAAAAAGGCGGGCUCGGGCCGUGACAGAUAAGAUGGUAUCAAAGCAUAAACGAAAUAUAAAAAGAAUAAUAGAAAAUGGUUUAGUUGGAUCUAGGAGACCCUAGGAUAGUAAACCAUAGGAGAUUAAGACUCGUGAGAGCCGAGGACUUGUGACUUGUGGCGAAAGGAUAAUGGAUUGGGUUAUGUCGUAAACCUCUAAAACGGAUAUUAGAGGUAGAUUCAAGGUGUGGUUUAUUCUCAGCCAAGGGUGUUCAUGUUGGGCAUGCACAACAUGAAGCCGAGUGAUGAGAAUAUACGCCUUUGUGUGACUUUCGCCCGAUUUGAGUCAGUGUUAGUUGUCUCGUGUUCGGCCAGAGGGUCGAGGGUCGAAUAGAGUUGUCGCGUUUUAGGAAGCGAUAGCACCGCGUAGGCGAUCUUCAUUUCGAUCGGCGCGGGAUGGGACAAGUGUUGUCCCUGAGCAAUUCAACGUGAGCGGAUUAAGGGACUCCAAGAAAUGGUUGGUCGAUUGGUGAUCGUACCAGUUUCGGCUCGUCGAGUACGGCCGGGAGUCGCAGCGGAAACGUUUUCGUCGAGGUUUAGCAGUUCGUUGGUGGAGGCAGUGAGGAGGGCGAGCUUUGGCGGCCCUCAUGACCUUCAAGCAAUUUGAUCCGCCCACCUAUGGUAGAGAGGAUGCGGAUCCAAGAAUCGUGGAGUUAUGGAUCGACUCCAUGGAGGCUCUCUUUGAGGGUCUAUGUGCUAUGGAGCGGGAUAAGGUACGGCUAGCCGUGCAUUGUCUGAAACAAUCGACGAUGGUGUAGUGGUAGGCGUCAAGCGGAUUUGAUCGCCUAGUUUCCCUCAUGUCGUUUGGGAUGAGCUUCGGGGUGUGUCAUGUUCUACGUACCUCCCCGAUAGUGAAAGGAGAAAGCUUCAGGAGAGGUUCUGGAAGCUGCGGUAAGGAGACCGCACCGUGAGGGAUUAUGAGCGCGAAUUCUCCCGUAUCGUGAGUUGCAUCCCGAAUGUGAAGCGGGAUGAUGAGGAUGUGGCCGAUUUGAUUGUGCGGAGACUUCGGCCGGACAUUUUCAAGGUUGUGCACAUAAGGAAGUGAAUUCUCGAAGUACAAGGAUUGGACUUCGUGUGGAAUCGACUGAGGGUCGUGUUGGUAUGCUUCGGAAGGACCGAAGGCGUCAAAAGUAGUAAAGGUGCGUCAUUGGGGAUCUUCGAGAGCUAGGGAUUUGAAAAUCUGCAAACUGCAGGUUUUCUGCCCUCGGGAACCGGUCCCUGUGGGGAGAGACCGAUCCCAAGAGACUGGUUCCAUCGGGGGGAGAUCGCUUGCCUCAUGCGUAGCCUGCGCGGCCCCCGGGAGAAGCUCUCGAAGACCGGUCCCUCGUCGGGGAGACCGGUCCCCAAGCCCGAAAAUGGCCUAGUCAGGGCAGUGUAAAAGAAUAAAAGUUGAGGGGCUUAUUUGCACUUAUGCAACAUGUGGGGCUAUGUGGGGGGUAUGAGAGCUCUUUUCUCUCAUUUCUCACCCACACACCCUCUCAUAUCUCUCUUUCUCUCUCUAGAAGACAAGAAGAGGAAGAAAAAAGGAAAGGAAAGAAAGAAAAUGAGAAGGAGUCUUCCUUAUCUUCUUCAUCUUCUCCUUGGUUGGAGCUUCACGGAGAGGUAAGCUUGUAAGCUCUCUCUCAUGGUGGAUUUCUAGAGAUAGGUUUGAUUGCUCUAGAAAUGGAGUUUUGUAUUAUCUGAGGGCGUAGUACCUGCCAGUACAGGUAUAGAGCCGGAUGGCACUAGCGAAGUGCUAGAAGUAAUCUAUGGCGAGAAGUGAGACUCGCGGUAGAGAUAGAAGUGGCGACACGACUCUCAGAGCAAUAUGAGCAGUGAAUUGCGAGAGUUGAGCCAUGAUGCUUAUGAGAACACCCGAGUGGUCCGAAAAUUUCGGAUGUCAUUCCGGUAGAUCGAACAGUGAAAGUAGCAUCACUGUUGAGAGAACGGUCGAUUAGUGGCCAAGUUUGAGCACGUGAGCCUAGUAGUACCUCAAGGUAAGGUAGGCGGUUGCGCUCGUGCGGUCGGUGUGCAUAGGCAAAAUUGCCUAAUGCUGGACUUCGUGUGGAACGCUGUAGAGGCAUAGAGCGCUGGAGUGUAGAUAACCGUAGAGUGCGAAUGUGGAUUCAGCUGAGAGAGUGCAUUGGCAGUAGCACUUGAGCAUUGCUAGGUGUGAAGCGUGCCAUGGAUCACUCGUGGGACUGGUGACUCGCACUAGGUGCAUAGGAGCCGAUAUUGGAACGUGUGACUCGAUAGAGUAUGGUGUGUAGGACGACGACGGCGGGUAGUGCUUGGGGAUGACCCGUGCCUAGACCAUUUGUGGACUGUGGAGCCUGAGCCCAUUGAGCAGGCGCAGUUAGUUGUGAGUGACAGCGGCCCAGUACCUACCGGUAGGGCAGAGUUCUGGUCAGAACGGUAGUCCGAGCUUAGACCCGGGAGCGUGGAAUGCCACGUGAUAGAUUGUGUGACCGAUGGUACACCGACUAUGGUUGUGACCCAACUCGAGGACUUGACGUGGUUUGGGGUCUUAGUUGCUCCUGGUUGGAGUGUGUGCGAAUUCCCAAGUGAGAAUUUCGCCCGAUGAUUAUUGGGUCUGUAUUUGCGAGCAAGAGACGCUGCGUAUUGAGACAGAUUUAGGUGAUUGGCCUACGUAGGAUUUGUGGCCUUUGGUCCACCUAUGGAGACCGAAGAAAGCGAUUUGGCAGAUAGCCUUAUCGAGGAGUUUGACUCGAAUUCACGAACGAAGCGCUCGCGUAAGCUCGUUACAAAAAUAGUUUGAUGCUGAUUGUGGCAUGUGGUAUCAGAUGAUGAAGUAUUCCUUAUGAGACAUCGAACUAGUGGAAAGCCACGUGAUGUUGGAGACUAUGCUCGUAAGCGAACUAAGACUUGAGAUGUACCGAAGUGGGCCAUCUCGCGUUAAAGUUAAGGGUCAGUGCGAAAUUAGAGCACUCACGACGGAGCGAUGCAUCGGUGAUAUUGCUUCUAAGCAACGUCGGUGAUCGAAUCAGAAGGUAUUCCCUGAAGGGAAGGUAAGUGCAAAGAAGAGUUCUUUGUGUACCGAAUGGCGAAUGGUAUUGGAGUGCGUAGAGUCGUCGAGUACCGACUUGCGCUGCCACUAUGACUCGCAAGACCCGUGAUGCACUUUUGUAUCACACCUUGCAAAUGUGUCUAGGAUUAAACCCACAUCAUUCCGUAUGAGCCGCUUCUGGAACCACGAUAGUGUAAAGCCGCUCUGGAGUGGGAGAAUGAGUUGGUAUCCUCAAUUGCUCGCGGAGCUGAAUUGAGGCGUGGUUUGAAUUUCGCGGACGAAAUUCUUUUUAAGGGGUGGAGAAUGAAACAUACCAGAUUUUGGUAUAAAAAUAAAAAUAAAUAAAAGUAGUGUGAGAAACUAUUUUUAUUGAAUUUAGAGAAGUAAAACAUAAGGAAGAAAUGACUUGUGCUGAAAUCGGAAUGAAAAUAAAAGAUUUAGAAUUUUUUGUUGGAAACGGGACAGAUAAAUUAGCAGAAAAUGCACAGUAUCAGAAAAUUAUGAAAACUGGAGGAUAAGCCAGAAUUAUUUUUAUGAGGCUAGAUUUAAAGUUUCAUGUCAUUCUGACACCCGAAAGGUAGAAAAUAAAAUCCGACAGCUAUCUAAUAAAGAUUAUAGUUCGGUACAGCUUUCGGUGACCAAACGGGGUCAAAACUGAAAUAUUAAAAUUUCUUUGGACUCGUUAAGUAAAACUGAACAUGACUGUCAAAUUUGAGCUCAAACAGAUGUUUAGGGAGUUCCGGCAAAAGAUAUCAGAUUUCGAACUGCCCGGAAGUGAAUAAUGUUUUGGGGUGUAAUGUAUUAAGAAGCCUUUUGCUUCUUCUUCCUCAGCCGACCACACCACCCCACAACACACGCACGCAUGGGAAGGAAGAGAGAAACUCUCCUUUCUCUCUCUAAUGAUCUCUCUCAUCUCUCCAAAUCUCUCUCUAAAAAUUUGAAGGUUGGUGGAGAGCGAGAUUGCGAACGCGUUGGAGGUGUCGGUUCGAGCUCUCGUGCGGCCGUUAGAGCGGCGUGCUUUCGUCGCGGCGUUCACAUUGUGGUAAGCUUUUGGAAUUUGGCUUAAUCCUUAGCUUUAAGUGUUCUAAUAGCCUCUAAUGAGUAUUGUUAGCAUGUUGCUCCAUUUAAUUUGGAUUAUUUAGAGGUUAAUUGCAUAUUAGGGCUCCGAAUGGAAUUUUGUAAAAUAGUAGGGUUUGAUCUCAUUUGACACUCUGUAAACCUAACUGCUAGGUAAACGAAUGCGUUGGCGAAGUCGGUUCGGUGAUUCGUCGAGCCUACACGAAGUUAUUCAAGAAACGGACGUUUAGGCUUCAUUUCCGCCUGGAGGGCCGAGGCGACUUCGUAAAAUCAUGAAAAUGGAUUUGGAGCACCGUGACACAUAACCGAAGACCUUUAAUUUCUGGAUCGUGGAUUGGAGGCCGUUCGGAUAGUCGCGCGAGAGUUCGGGCCGAACCGGGUGCCGGGUGCCGCGGGAGGCCGAUUGCAAGUGACUACAAGCAAUGGGAGAGCGUUACGAGGUGGGUUGUGCUCUCCGAAGCGAUUAGGUUGCUUCCAUGUUGAAGUGGAGUAUGGUUUUCUAAUUGAUGCAUACAUACAUUAUGAUGGCUAAUUGCAUUGGUAGUUGAUUGUAAAGUAAAUGAAUGUAUGAGAUUAUGCUAAUCAAGAAUGCAUAAAUGAGAUAUUGAUAAGGAAUACAUAAGCUAUAUGCUAAGAGAAUGAAUGAUCUAGAUGCUAAAAUAUGUAUGUGCAUGAAAUGCUAAAGAACAUAUGAAUGUUGAUAUUAUUAGAAAUAUGCUAGUUGGUAUAUGUGCAUGAUGGCAUAUUGUUAAUUAACAUAUUGUGGAUUAUGUUAAAUGAAAAUAUAUACAUGAUGACAUAUUGCAUAUGAUAGAUGAACUAUGCAUGUUGACAUAUAGAGGAUUAUGUUAAUUGACAUUUGCAUGUUGAACUUGGGUCGGUAAACUCUAGGUGAAUUAGAGAACUCGACGUUGGAAAAUAAUGACGUAUGAACUAUGAUAUGCGAUGUGGACAAGUAGGAUGUCAAACAGAUCGAGUGGCAUAUAAUUAGUGUAGUGGAAACACUUAUGGCAUGUUGAACACUUAGAGAACAAGCGUGGCAUUAGUGAAUGAGUCCAAGAAUAUAGUAGUGUAUAUAACACAAGUGACGGUAAACAAUGCAAAGAAAAGAAUGAUUGAGAUAUUAUAACAUUUCAACCUUAGAGUUAAGGGUCAUUUGAGCAUGGUCUUCCUUAAAGUUAAGGAAUGGAUUGAACUUGGAAUCCUCAAUGCAGGAUUGGUCGUACUCACCUUUAGUCCUUGCUCGAGAGUGGUAGCUCCCCCUUGGGCGAUAUGCUCCGGAGUCAACAUCACUAGGUUGUAGCGGGAAUCUCCCCAGAGGACUGUCCUAUCGGGUUGUAGUGGGUAUCUCCCCGGUUAAUAGGAUUUUGGGUUGGUAAGUUUGUUGAGUGCGAAACCUACGGGUUAGCCAAGAGAUUGGGUAAUGAAAUCUUGCAUUCAUCAUGAAUUGACUCAAGACCGAAUCGAGUGGCAUAGUUGGCUAAGGUCAAUGUAACCUUAGGAAAAAAUAAAAACUGAGUAAAGUGUGGCUAAGAAUAAAGAAUAAAGAAUGACAUGUGAUACAGAAUUGUCAAUAUUAUAAAGAAUGGUAAGUGAUAGAGAGUAGAAUCAAUUAAUCUAUUUGUAUGAGUUGCAUGAUCUACAUAUUGCAUGUCUUGAGGCACAAACAUGUAUUUAAUAUUUGCAUUAAUUAUUUGUGGAUAUCUGUUGGAGUAACAUGUUUGCAGUGCCUCCUUUGGACCUGAUGGGUCGAGCUUUUUUCUUGGGUGGCCGUACCCACUGGGAACUAUGGAUAAUAGUUCUCAACCCCGUGUUGUUUUUAGGGGGACAGGUUCACACGUGAGCGGCGCGGUGGCGCGAGGAAAGGGCGUAGCUCCGUAGAUAGCGCCCUACCACCGAGACCAGAAAUAGCAUUACCCCGAGUCGGCUUAGCUAGGGGUUGUAGAAAAGAUGUAAAACAAUAUUGUAAUAAUCUUAAUUGUAUUUGGAAGAAAAGAAAAAAAAAAAGUGUAAUAUGUGAUGAGAAUGUAUUAAGUGAAUUGAAUGUAUGUAAUAACUUAGUUGUUUAUAUUUUUGAUACUUUCUUAUGCAAUCUGUAUGUUGAAUAUCGUUCCAGGUUGGAACCUCUUGUAAUGUAUUGAUUGCGACGCCUUGGACGUACAGGAGAGACUCUGUCUGCGGUACAAAGGAAAUCCUGUCCGUUCGGCGAUCUGUUGGCGUGUCCGAACCCUACCAAAGAGGCGGGCUCGGGGCGUGACAUUAUGCUAUUGCUGCAGCUGUAGAUUUUGCUGCAGCUGAAGCAGCAGACCUUACUUAUCAGUUGUUGGUCCAGCUGCCUGCUUCAACUGCUGAUUGUGCAGUUGCAACUCGUUCUGAUCUUCAGAUGUGGCUGCUGCUGCUUAUGCUGUCUGUGUAGCCGCUACUUGUGCUGCUAUGACUACUUUUGCAAAAGAUUUAGCCAACCAAAACUUUUUGGCUGCUUCUUUUUGACAUUCGACAUUUUUUUUUUUCUUUUUACUAUUUGGCUUAUGCUCUAACAUCUCAAAUAAGAAGUAAUAGAAAAGUUGCUCUAACAUCUUGGACGAAAUAGAAGUGAUCAAAUUGAUAUUUAAUAAAAAUAUUUAUAUUUAUUAAUUUUGGCACCCCAAUUAUACAAAAAAAUAAACAUUGUAACUUUCAUUAGUACAAAAAUUGGGUGGGGUAUUAUUUCAACACAAAACACCAAACCUAGAAAUAUAAAGUUUUUUGACAAAAAGAUCAAGACUUUAUAAGCAGGCACAAACGUCGAUUUCUAUAUCUACGAGGCAUUUUGAGAUCCUCAUCAAUAAGUGUCGUGGACUCCUACUACCCAUUGUCGACGGAUGCUCAGUAGAUGAUGAUGCAGUAUGCUCAUCAGGAUUUGUUGUAGGAUUCUCAUCCAUUGGAGCUAUGUUGGAGCAAUUGAGAAGUUCGCAACAUCUAUCGAUACAAUCCUUCGCUUUUUCCAUCUAGUGACAAAUAGGGCUCUUUCUUCCACUAAAGAAUCAUAACACCCUUUGAGAAGUUCAUAGUCCAUCUUAAGCUUCUUGUACUCCCCAUGAAGUUCUUCAUGCUCAUGGAAAAUCAAAUCAUAUAAAUUUUCAAAAUACUUUUGGUCCUCAUAAUUAACGUCCACAACCACAAAGUCAAGCUCCUCAAGAAGUCUCUCAAUAGCGAUCCUUGCAUCAUGCUCUUUAAUUAUAUUAGACUUUCCAAACGGCGCACCACAACAUAUAAUCACCUUCAUAAUUGGGCUACCCCUUGGAAGUUCUUCAGAAGCUUCCCUCAACAUCUAAGGUAAUUCUAUAUCUCAGUGGAUAAAGGGUAAAUUUAACACAUACAUUACAGAGCAACCGUCGAAAGAUUUUGCUGACAACAACUAUAUAUUGCUGCCAUCAUUGCAUCUAAACGCAAAUUUAAUUUGAGAAAUGAAAUUGGUUUGUGUAGACCCUAGAGUCUUAAGUACUUCUCUAGUUCAUUUUUUUUAAAUUAUGUGCAUACAUAUUUUUUAUUUUGAUCAAAGGUGGAGUGUUUCCAAAUUGCAAACAACACAUAUGAUUAUACAUAUGCAAACACAUCAUAUUUGGAAGGUAGCAAAGUGGGCAAAUACAAAAUUAGCAAAGAUUUAUAUAUAUUACGCAAUAAUAAGAAAGAUUUCAAAGUUGUGUUGCAUCACUGUAUUCAAACACAAUUUGAGAGAAAAGUAGACAGAGUUGCACGGAUGCUUCUAGCCUAAGCAAAGAAGAAAAAAAGAAAAAAAAAAAAAAAGUAGACGCAACAGUCGUCGAAUGCCUGCAUAAAAGAUAAUAGAACUUGUAAGUAAACUUCCCUGCUUAAUACAACUCAGAUGAACUCAAACAACCUACUGAGAAGCAAACUAUUAGCAGUUUUGAAAGCAAUCAUAGCGUACGGUUAACGUCGGAGGACAUGUGGCAUUAUAUAGCCAUCGGCAUGAUAGGGAAACAACGGCACUCGCCAAGAGUUUCAGGAUUUGAUGAGUCAUGAAUCCGGUAGAAUUAUUGCGAGCAUGGUAGAUAAGACGACAUCUGAGAAAUGCAAGAUGAAACCGAUGAUGGACAACGAAUCAGGCGGCACUAGGACAUGGAGAGUAGAGGAAAACGGCCAGGACGGUAGAGCAAAUAAUGAUGGAUGAUGCAGCGGGGAAGGAAAAGGCUAUGGUGAGAAACGUUCAAAGAAUGCCAGGGAUCGGUUUAGUUCAAAAGAGUGAUAAACGUUCAAAGGAUACCAAGAUGCCAGGUAACGCCAGAGGGCAGUUCGAUUCAAGAAAGACAAAAAAAUGAGAAGACGAAUAUAGAAAAUUUGGUUCGAUUUCAAGUAAAUAGAAAAGUCGAUUCAAAGAUAAGGGAAUAUUACUAGACCAAGGCCCCAUUUGGAUACCUCUAAAAACGUAACACUAUGCUACGCCGGUAGGAAAAUAAUCUUAUGAAGCGUUUGGAAGAAAAAAAAAAUGACGUAAUUUUUGGAGUAUAGUUAUACUAUACUCCAAAAAAUGGAGUAAACUUACAAUCCACUUUAACCAAAGGAAAAAAAAAAAAAAUCCUACCAUUUUGGGUCCAAAGAUGUACAAUUUCUAAGAUUUCAACAUAAAAAUUUUAAACUUCAAAAUUUAAAAUUUUAAAAGUCAAUUUUAAUUUGAUUUUAAAUUUCAAAUUUUAAAUUUCCAAAUUCAAAAAGUUUAAAUUUUUAAAUUUUAAAUUCAAAUUUCAAAUUAACUUUCAAAUUUCAACUUUCAAAUUUCAAUUUCAAAAAUGUUCAAAUAUUCAAAUUUCAAAUUUCAAAGUUUCAAAAUUUGAAUUUCAAAUUUCAAAUCUUCAAAUUUCAAAUUUUGAAUUUCAAAUUUCGAAUUUCGAAUUUUCAAAAGUUUUGAAUUAUCGAAUUUCAAAAGUUCGAAUUUCGAAUUCGAAUUGCGAAUAUUCAAAUUCAAAUUUCACAAUUUCAACGUCUCAAACUUCAACUUAUCAAAUUUCAACUUUCAAAUUUUAAAUUCCAAUUUCAAAAAGUUUCAAAUUUCAAAUUUCAAAAUUGCAAAUAUCAAAUUUCAAAUUUCAUAUUUCAUAUUUUAAUUUAAUUUUUAUUUUUAAUUUUUCAAAUUUUAAAAGUUUAAAUUUAAACGUAAUUUUUAAAUUUUUAAAUUUAUAAAUAUGUAAAUUUAUAAAUUAUUAAAUUUAAAAUUUAAAAUUUUAAUUAUACAUUUUUUAAAUUUCAAAAUUUAAAGUUUAAAUGGUAUACUUUAAAUUUCAAAAUUUAAAGUUUCAAAUUUCAAAUUUUAAAUUUCAAAUUUCAAAUUCCAAAUUUCAAAUUUAAAACAUAAAAUCUAAUUUAAUUUUUAAAUUUAAAAUUUAAAAUUUUAAUUUUAUAUUUUGAAUUUUGAAUUUUAAUGUUUAAAAUUUUAUUUUUAAAUUUUGAAUUUUGAAUUUUGAAUUUUGAAUUUUAAAUUUUAAAAUUUUAGAAAUUUAGUUAUUAUAAAUACGAUAGAAUUGUAUGAUAUGUAUCCAAACAGCGUAAAAAUGAAGUUGUGGAAUUUUUUUGUAGUUACAGGAUUCCGUAUUUCAUUUAGACCAAAACCAUAGAAUAAAAAUUCCAUGGAGUUUUUUAACUAUCCAUCCAAAUAGGGCCCAAACCUAAUAAUGAAGAGGAAAGAAAAAAGGGACUGAACCAAAAGAGAACCUGACAGGCAAAGAUGGUUCAAGAGAAUAGAAAAUCUGGUUCGUUUUCAAGUGAAUAGAAAACCCAAUUUAAAGAUGAGGAAGUAUUAUUGGAUCAAAUCCAAGAACGAAAAGAAAAGAAAAACUAGACGAAACCCAAAAAAGAACCUACUAGAUGUAGACAGUUCAGGGGAAUAUAAAAUCUAGUUUGGUUUCAAGAUAUAGAAAAUCCGGUUCAAAAGUGAGAAAAUAUUACUAGACAGAACUCAAGAAUGAAAAUAAAAAAAGGGUAAGAAAAUAUUAUUAGACCGACCCCAAGAACGAAGAGAAAAGAAGAAUCGGACCAAACCCGCAAUAGAACCUAGCAAGUAGGACUCACUCCCGAGAAUGAAGUUGGUGAUGCCACUUGUUUAAGUUAUUGAUGAUAGAUAGAUUUAACCUAUAAAUAGUUUAAAAGUGGGCGGUCGUGUGUAGUUCAGAAAUUAUGCAAAUAAUUAUACUAAAAAAUCAUACUUAUGUUUUGAACAUUUAUGUCCUUUUUAGCAAAUAAUGGCUCAUUUGAUACAUUGAAUUUUAGGAGUAGCUAUAAUAAUUGGUUAUUAGGUUUUUUCUAAGCAUUUAAUUUUUAAAUAUUUAGACUUUUGUGCUAAUGGUAAAUUUUUUUUAUAAAGCAUAUUUAUAUUCUGUAAUUCUUCGAUUGGAGAAAUUGUAUUUAGUUAUUUUAUAAUUUUAAUUUUGUUAUUGUGUAGAAAAUUAUUGGUAAAUAUGACAGCUAUGUACAACACUUCGCAAACAAUCUAGAUCUAUACCUAUAUAUUAUUUAUCCUAAAGUUGCCACAUGACAACUUUUCCUUCAAGGUUGAGUGUGGACUCCAUCCCGAACAAGCUCAAGUACUUCCUCUUCCUCUUUCUUUGGUUGUUACUUCCGUUCAACGGCAAAAUAAAUCUCACCGCUCAUCAUUGCUUUUCUUAUCGCUGUUUUCUCUUUUUUUUGUCAACAUUUUCUAUGUUUUCUUCAAUUAUCUAUCCGUCCCAUCGCACAAGUUACUACGCUAGUAUAGUCAUGAAAUGCAAGUUAUAGAACGAAAAAUUGUAUGGUUAAUUUGUAGAGUUUAGUAUUUUAGGAGCCGUUUGGUUGGGGAAUAAAGGGGGGAUAAGGGAUUAUCAUCCCCUUUAUACCCAAAUGAAAACAAAAGGAGGAGGGGGGGGGGGGGGGGGGGGGGAGGGAUAGUUGUUCCCCUUAUGACCCAUUUGUUGGCGGUAUAGCGGGGAUAACGAAUUAUCCUCGUAUUCCGCAAACGAAAAAUUUUUGCCGGAAUAAUUUUAUCCCAGUCAAACCUUGCUUCCCGGCCUAUCUGGAAUAGCUUGGGAUUUAUUAUUCCACAUUUUGAUGAAUAGUGCUAUUCAAUGUUUGUUUUCAAACUUUAUUAAUUACAAUUAAAAUUAAACUAAGUGUAUAAUAUAAUAUGUUAUAUAUUAUUAAUAUAUUUUUAUUAUAAAAUUAUUUAAUGUACUAUAUAAUCAUAUAUUUAUUAUUAAAUAUUAAUAUUUAAUACAUUUUUAAUAAUUAUAUUUAAUAUAUAUAUAUUAUAUUUAUUAAAUUUAAGUUUAGUAGAUUUUAAAAAUUAUAAAUUUAUAAUAAUAAAAAUUAUAAAUUUAUUAAAAAAUUUUUAUUAUCAAAUUUAUAAAUUUAUUAUUAUAAUUAUUUUUAUUAAUUGUUCCCACCCCUAUUCUAUGUUCAAAAUUUUAAAUUUUAAAUUUUAAAUUUGAUAUUUUAAAAUUUUAAAUAUAAAUUUGAUAUUUAUAUUUUAAUUUUAAAUUUGAUCUUUAUUUAAAGUUUGAAAUUUAAAUUUUAAAUUUUAAAUUAUUGAGUUUAAAUUUGGAUUUAUUUUAAUUUUAAUUCAAUUUAAAUUUAAAGUUAAAAUUUUAAUUUAAAAUAUAUUAAUUUAAAAAUUCAAAUUUAAUAUAAUAAGAAGAGGUAUCAUUAUUUUAACUACCACUUUAAUUUUUAUCCCAUCUUAUCUAACAAACGCUAUUUUUCUUAUUCUAAUAAUAACCAAUUUUUAUCCAACACAAAAUUGUCUAAUCCUCUGGUUAUACUCAAUUUAUACAUAUCUUGGAAUAACCACUUUUUGUUAUCCGAACCAAAACGGUGGCAUAGGAAUAGGGUGGGAACAGCUCUUCUUACCCUUUUUAAUUUUUUAAAUUUAAAUCUUAAAUUUUAAAUUUUUUAUUUUAAUUUUAAAAAUUAUUUAAUUUACAAUUUUAAAAUUAAAAUGUUAAUUUUUAUUUAAAUUAGUUUUUAAAUAUUAAUUUAUAUUUUAUUUUAUUUUAAUUUGAUUUUUUAAAUUUUUAAUUUAUUAGUUGAUUUUUGGUGUAUUUAAAUUUAGAUUUAAUCUUAAAUUUAUAAUUUGAAAUUUAAAAUUUAGAACUUUGAAUUUUUAAAUUUUAGAUUUAAAAUUUUAAAUUUUGAAUUUUAAAAUUUUAAAAUUUAAAAUUUAUAUAUUUAAAUUAAUUGUAGUACUCUGAUAUUUUUGAGUUGGUAAGUUGGGUGGAUGGAAUGCCACGUGCACCUAACCCCCCCCCCUGCAUACUUAUCAACUUAGUUCACUUAGGUUGUACAUCUCUCUAAAUUAAUUUUCUUCUCCUCUCUCUCUCUAGCCGAUUGUGAGCAAGGAGGAGUUCGUGUGGAGCAUUUCGUCGUCGACAUCGCGUCGCAGAGCCGUCCGAGCAUACGUGCGUCGCCGUAGUUUCGCGAGGAGGCCGGGCGAGGGAGUGUUUUUAUCGUUCUCGACGCCGUGCCGGAAUUGGAGUCGCUGGUUGAGGUGGGUAUCUCUCAUUCCUCUAUGGAUUUCUUCUCUACUUCAAGCUUCAUUGAAUUA
rnacentral:lncRNA from 1 species